UUUUUUUUUUUUUGCUGACAAGUACUAUGAAUGAGUGAAUGAAUGAACAUGGUCCUCUCUCCCUCUCACUCUCUCCACUGGGGUAUAUCCUGUGGCACCUUGAAUGAUGAUGGCCACCUCACACUGGCAAGUGGCAAGGCUGAGGAGGGGGAUCCAAGGAGUGAGUGAGAGAGGAACCGCACAGUGACUGACGCAGUGGGCCCACACAGACUCAUCGCUCCCUCUCUUUAUGUUUGAUUUGAUCUUCUCUGCCUGUAGUUGACUGACUGACUAUUCAUCAGGUUCGAACAGAAAAGGAUCCAGUCCCCGUCCCCAACUGCUGCAGCGCAGUGAGUGAACGAUUCUCCAGGGCACUCGUUCCUCUUGGCAUCUGGUGCGUCGACAGAUUCAGUUUCAGUUUCAGUUACACGCUCCACUGACGCAGCAGUAGCAUGUAGAACUAGGACUAGGUGCUAGCUAUGGUUAGUUGUACGCUUGCAUCAUGGAUUGGUUGAUGCAACUGGUUAGAUUUGUCAGGUUUGAGAGGGAGCUCAGGUAGAUUAUCUGCCUGAACUGAACCACGCAGUGAUGCUGCUUUUGACUUUCGGGGAUCGGUGCUUUUUCUUAAGGUUUAGGUCAAUCUCUGGCUGGCUGAUUAGAGACGUUGAUCUCAUCUUAAAAUAUAGGGGCGGUUACAGAUACAUUUGACUGACUGUUAGCAAGCCCCAAAAGUGUUUUUCUCAUCACCGGUUUAGGUCAAUCCCUGGCUGAUUGGGAGUGUUGAUCUUUUAAAACAUAGGGGCUGCAGGUUACUGUUACAUCCGAGUGACUAUUAAUUAGCAAGCCCUGCAAGUAUUUUAAUCGCAUAUGGUCUGUGAACCAAAUAAUGCGGCAUUUUAGAGGUGAUGCAUGCAUGCAACAACAAAGAAUUAUGCCCAGUUGAGUGUAGUUUUCAUCCCUGCACAGCAAGUGCUGACUGAAUCUGCUGAUUGGAUAAUGAGUAUAAAUGGCAAGGAGGAACAGAUGGAUAUAUUUAGGGCCUGUUUGGAUUUAUCACUGGUCUCUGGCUGAUUAGAGAUGUUGAUCUUAUCUUUAAAAAUACAAGGGCAGCAGGUUACACUUACAUCUGACUUGGAAGCCAUGAAGUAUUAUAUUAUAAUCACCUAUGGGCUGUUAACCAAAGAAUGAGACAUUGGACGUGGUGCAUGCGACACAGAAAGAGAAAUGUCAAGUUGAAUGAACCUGCUGAUUGGAUAAUGGGAACGAAAAUGAGAAUGACGAAACAGGCGCAAGAAAACUUUCAUUAUUCAUCUUCGAUCAUGCCAAUACAACAAACACCAGAAAUAAUAAAAAUUACAUCCAGAUCCGUAUACAAUCUACCGACAAUUAAAAGCACUGAAGCGAGCCGAAGACGCGUCGCCGUCAUCGCCUCUCCCUAGCUGGAGCCGGACAAAACUUGUAGUAUACAGUCGGGAAGUCGUCGCGCUAAGGCCCCCGUAGGACGAGCGCAGCAGAACAACAUCAGCCACGGAUGAAGAGUAGCGUAGAUCGGAAGGAUCCAACCAGAAGACACACGAACGUAGACGAACUACGGCCACAUCCAAGCAAGUCCAUCAAGGACAGAUCCGUCGGAGACAUACCUCCACACGCCCACCGACAAUGCUAGACACACCAUCGGGACGGGGGCUUGGCGGGGAGAACCUUAUUCCAUCUUGAGGGAUCCGCCACCGUGCCGUCUUGCUGAGCAGAAUACAAACCCUAACAAAACUCGAAGGAACGUCUAAAAAUAGAGUCCUUCCGCCGGCAAUGACCAAGAUCCUAUGCUGCCAUGGCCCUAAGGCCAUCGGAGACGAGGCGGUUGCCGCAACUGGUUAGAUUUGAGAGGGACCUCAGGUAGAUUAUCUGCCUGAACCACGCAGUGAUGCUGCUUUUGACUUUCCGGGGAUCCGGUGUUCUUUCUUAAUUAUCACUGGUCUAGGUCAAUCUCUGGCUGGCUGAUUUGAGACGUUGAUCUUAAAAUAUAGGGCGGCAGGUUACAGAUACAUUUGACUGACUGUUAACAAGCCCCAAAAGUGUUUUUCUUAUCACCGGUUUUGGUCAAUCUCUCGCUGAUUGGGUGUGUUGAUCUUAUCUUAAAAUAUAAAAUUAGAGGUGGCGCAUGCAACAAAAUAGAAUUGGCUGGCGGCAGCAGGUCACCGUUACAUCUGACUGACUAUUUCGUACUCCCUUUGUAAACUAAUAUAAGAGCGUUUAGAUCAUUAUUUUAGUGAUCUAAAUGUUCUUAUAUUAGUUUAUGGAAGGAGUAGUUAUCAAGCCCAGAAAGUAUUUUAAUCACGUAUGGUUUGUGAUCCAAACAAUGCGACACUACGGGUGAUGCAUGCAUGAAACAAAAAAGAUUGUCCAGUUAAGUCUAGUCUGCAACCCUGCACAGCAAGUGCUGAUCGAAUCUGCUCUAGAUAGUGGAUAUAAUGAACAAAAAUGGCAAUUAACCACAGAUAGAUAUACCAGUAUUAGUUACUGUACUCGACAGAACGAACAUAGCAGAUUGUUAUAGCAGAAUGCACCGCUGGAGGCUCCUCACCGUAAUUGGAUUUCUUCUUCUUCUUUGACUUUCUCUUUCUCCUGCUCGCCAUACUCUCGAGCUGCCCUCCUGGUGGGUAGGUUCCUCCUCUUGGUGUUUCCUCUUCUUUGAAGCCACUUCUGACUUCUUUGGGUUUCUUCGGUGGAUUGUCAAACUUGUUGAAAGCCUUCAGCUCAGCCACCAGUUAUAAAAACAAGCAAGUUAUGAUCAAUGAUAAAUUCUACAGAUAGCAUCCUUAAUAUGAACAAACGAAGAGAACCCCUACAGCCAGUGCGCAAGAUCUCAGCAAACAGCGAGCCACAUGCCAAAUUAUGGAAUAUAAGGACCAGCCUCUCACAUUAAGCUGCCCAGUUAGUAAUCACCUGAUGGUGGAUCCAUCCAGCCAAUGGUUCGUGAUCCAAAUAAUGCGACAUUAGAGGUGAUGGAGCAUGCAACAAAAAAUAAUUUCCAGUUGAGUCGAGUUUCCAACAAAAAAUAAUGCGACACUAGAGGUGAUGCACAGCAAGUGUUGAUCGAAUCUGCUGACUGGAUAAUGAACAAGAAUGGCCAUUAACAACAGAUAGAUAUAUUACUACUCGGGAGAAUGAACAUUGCAGAUUGUUAUAGACGAGACCAACAUAAGAUUCAGCGAGUGCUGAGCACUUGCAGGUUUCGAAAUGCAGAGUUCGUCGAUGCUAAAACUUUCAGAAGAUAGCACAGCAUUACACCGUCAAAUUUCUGCUGUAUUUCCGUGCGACGCGCUCUUCAGCAUGCUUUUUCUUCCUCUUUCUUCUGGAGAGCGUCGGCAUCAACCGCUGGAGGCUCCUCGCUAUCCUUGGAUUUCUUCUACUCGCCAUCCUCUUCAGUUCCCUCCUUGGUAGGUUCUUCCUCUUGGUGUUUCCUCUUCUUUGAAGUCACUUCCGACAUCUUUGGCGUUUCUUCGGCGGAUCGUCAAACUUGUUGAAAGCCUUCAGCGCAACCACCAGUUAUACAAUCAAGCAAGUUCUGGAUCAAUGAUACAGUCCACAGAUAGCAUCCUUAGUAUGAACAAACAAAGAUACAGUCCUCGCAAAAAAAAAAAAUACAGAGAACCGUACAACCAAUGCGCAACAUCUCAGCAAACAGCGAGCCACAUGCCAAAUUAUGGAAUAAGGACCUACUCCCUCUGUUCGUAAAUGUAAGUCUUUGUAGACAGCGGCGAAGCCAGCCUCAUAAAUCUGUGGGGUCAUAGUUAAUUUUCCGAAUUUUUUCCUUCACAAUGAAUAGUAAUUGUACAGUAUUUUUAGGCUAUUUUGUUGAAAAGCUGUGGGGUCGGCUUUUUGUUGAAAAGCUGUGGGGUCAGCCAACCCCACAGCUAAAGCCGACCGCAGCUAACACAUAGCUCCGCCACUGUUUGUAGAGAUUCCACUAUGAACCACAUACGGAUGUAUAUAUAUGCAUUUUAGAGUGUACAUUCACUCAUUUUGCUCCGUAUCUAGUUAGUAAUCAUCCGAUAGUGGAUCCAUCCAGCCAAUCAAAUUAUAGUACUAAAUUAAAUUUGUGCAACAAUCGAUGUGGCAAAACGUGAACUUACACUGCUAACAUUUGAAGGCAAAAGAAUAGCGGUGUCCUCUGGACCAAGACACACGGUAGUAAUUAACUUGGCGUAUGCAGUCCCUGGUUUAAUUAUAAAAACCAAAACUGUACAAUAACUAAUGAGAUCCACGAGAAAAUCAAGACACAGGCUCGAAUCGCUCAAAACCUUUCUGCUUUUUCUGACGAGCCAAAACCCUUCCACAAGUCGCACAAGCCAAAACCACAGGUAGAUAGAUAGACAUAUCAGAGCCACUCACCUCGACUUCGCUGAUCUUCCGCUCGUCCAGCACCUUGAAGAGGACGAACCUCGCGGGUGUCCCGAACAGCACCAACAUCAACCAGGCUGCCGAGACACCACGUGAUGGCGAUACGCGUCAGUCUCUCGAUUACAAGGAGUUGACCUCGGUGGAUAAAAUCAACCGUACUUGAUUCAGUUUAACCAAUAAACACAGGAAAUAUAGGACAAGGGAUUAUUUUCUACUUAAGACAACAAUACAGAGUUCAGCUUCGGAGAAUAAAACAGAGCAUUCACCACUUGAGUCCUUUACUGUAACAAGUAAUGCAGCCCAAGAGAGAGCCCAUGUCUGACUUAGCCAUCCUUACUGCUCCAUUGAACCUUUUAUUUUACCGCGCGGUAGAUCAUCAGCACUACGUGUCAUCUGCAUUUUCAGUCUCAUAUGUCUGCAAACUAGCCACUUAAUGGAGUGCAUGGAACUUAACCCAGAGAAAAGACCAGAUGCACGGCGUAUAAUUGACAUGCUUGAUAAAACGGAAAGUACUGACAAAAUUGACACCAGUAGUUCAUUAGUUGGGCUGCAGAUAAGUUCAUUUAGCGAACAAUCGAAACUGCAGGAGGAUGUCAACGAGCACCCUGAAACUGAUGAUGUUGCAGAACGUCUUGGAAAUGAAGGUGAAGAAAACGCAGAUCAUUGGUCAUUGCGGGAAGAGCAAGUUGAUCGCAAAGGAACAAGCAUUUCCAGUUCUAACUCUAGUUUGCUGGACAAGUUGAACAUUCUGAACGUCUUCCGAAGUGACGCACAAAGGAAUUUCGUGAUAAAUGGAGGCCAGAUACUAAAGAAUGUAACGGGCCUGAAGAUUUUCACAAAGAAGGAAAUAAAAAAGAUCACAAGAAAUUAUGCAGAGUUUCUUGGUAGAGGCGGUUACUCAAGAGUCUACAGAGGAACUCUUCCUGACAAUACAACAGUGGCAGUUAAGAUAUUGCUUAUGGGUGUAGAUGAAGAUCAAAUGGAGGAAUUUGUUAAGGGAGUGGAGGUCCGGACACAAUUGUUCCACAAUAACAUUGUGAAGCUCAUCGGUUACUGCCUGGAAGCUGAUGUUCCGAUAUCGGUUAAUGAGUAUGCUGCUAAUGGGAGCCUCAUGGGCAUUCUCCAUGGCAACAAAAAUCGAACGCUCCCCUUAGACUUGCGUUUGGACAUUGCGAUUGGGUCUGCAGAAGGGUUAAGGCACAUGUACUCUGUAGACAUACAGCACGGUAAUGUUAAACCAUACAACAUACUUCUCGAUGAAAAGUUAACCCCAAAAGUCUCGUGCUUUCAGCUAUCGCAGUCGAUGAAUAUUCCAAAAGUGGAUGAAUAUUCCACCAAGGAUCUCAUUUGACGGGUGGUUUACAUAGACCCAGUGUUCAUGAAAACUGGCAUGUUAACGCCAAAGAGUGAUGUCUACAGCUUCGGGGUGGUUCUCCUGGAACUCAUUACCAGGAAGACUGCCUAUAAGUGUAGCCUCAUCGUUGAGUAUCGCAAAUGUUAUGAGACAGAAAAGAGUGGGAGAGCAAUGUUCGACAAGAAGAUUGCAGCAGAAGAAGACAUCUACAUCCUUGAAGAGAUAGGCAAGCUGGCCAUUGAGUGCCUGAAUGUAGAUAUAGAAGAGCGACCUGAUAUGACUGAGGUGACGGAACGGCUUGUGAUGCUUAGGAGAGAUAGACGACUUGUGAAGGCACGCAAAAGCUAACCAGUCCUAGUUAUUUUGUACUCCCUCCGUCCCAAAAUAAGUGAGUCCUCCGUCUCAAAUGAUUUUGGGACGGAGGGAGUAGAUAUCUAAGUGAUUUAUAUUUCUUUAAUUUAGAAAGUGUGAUCUACUCUUCGCAUGGUACUGUACAUGUGAGUAAAAUGGGCAUGAAUUACGUUUGUGUAAUUUAGGAGUAGUUUUGUGAAGUUCUUAUUGGUGGGAUGCUUGAGUUAUGAUAUAUACUGUAUAUGGCAUCAGUAGUACCUUGCUGUAGAUAAUGAUUCUAUGUGAUCAUGACAUUCUGACCGUGAACCUGAAACAAAACAACAGGGCGUUGCAAAGGAUGCUGAAACCUACACGAUCUAUACAUGUACAUCGGUAACAUAUUAUGGAUACAUUUGUAUUGAGCAACCUCGGUCGAUGAAGAAUGAGAGGGAUGGAGUUUGUCAGCAGGGGUAAUGUACCUGAUAACCUGAGCCUGGGAAGAGAAGCUCUGUACACCAGGUGACAACGUUUUUGGACAUCACCAGCGUGCAUGGCAUUUCAUCGAACAGCUCAGGUGCAAAGGCCAGGACGGACGUGCACGCUGCCUUCUCGACGGCAAGGCGGAGAAGGGAAGUCAUGGCCGAAGCUGUAGUAGGGUACCCGCCAGCUCGCAGGAGGUUGGUGUCCACCGUCGGCGACGGCUGCUGCGGCGCCGGUGGAGGUUGCGGGCGGCGGUGCCGACUCCGAAGUGCAAAUUUGUGAAGACUAGUACUUGGCUUGGCCGGCUUGUGUGUACUGUAAUCAGAAGAGCAUGUGUGGUCAAAGUGCUUCAUAAGCCUAGGAGAAUGACAGACAAGAACGCCCAGAGCUGUCAAAUUGUGCAACGUAGUGAAAUGAUUCGCCAGGGCGCUCGCUCUCAGUUACAUGCACCCCACCGACGCAGCAUUUGCUAUUAGUAGCAGGUUAGUUGCAUGUUUGCAUCAUGGAUUUGAGACAGAGGGAGAGGUUACCUACCUGAACCAUAUACUGUUUUUUCCUUUUUAAUGGUUUAGGUCAACCUCUGGCUAAUUAGUAAUGUUGAUCUUAAAAUAUAGGGAAACAAAAUAUAGGGUCAGCAAGGCCGGUGAAACAAAGAAACAAAACUAGAGCCGCUCCUAUGGUCUGAGAAUCCUCACUGGCAUAAUUAAAGAUAGAGAAAUGAACAAUAUAAACAAAUAUAUAAGACAUUAAGCUAUUGAUCAUAAACCUCAGAAAGCCGCAAAAAUAUCGCUAUAUGACGGUAAUUCCAACAUAAAGCUAAUCAUCAUUGGCUUCAAUUGCGGUACAUAUACCUUUAUAAUGUAAAUGACUACUAUUUCAAAACAAUCGCAUUACUAAAAAAUGUCAGAAGAAAACAAGGCAUAUCAUCAGAAUAUAAAUGCCUUCUCAUCCACAGGAUGUUUCAAGGUUUCAUCAUAUGAUAUGUUUUCUAAUGGAUUCAGUUGCAAAGAUGACAUCAUACUGACAGCUCAAGCCACCCCUCGGAUCAAGUGUUGGAUUAUGCAUCAAUACCCCCUCACAAUCCAAACAGGUCUUCUACAUUGGAAGGCAAGAAGAAGCAAACGAAGAACAGCCGAGAAAGAUUUGGAGAAUGUUUUAAUUUGGUUCGAUCCUGCCAGCAAUGUCAUGCAUGCAACAACAAGAAUCAAAGUCAAAAAUCUAGUUAAGAGUGUUGUUCCCAUCCCUGCGCAGUAAGUGUAAUCUGCUGACUAGAUAAGGGAUAAAAUUGGCAAUUAACAACAGAUAAAUAUAUUACUACUCGACAGAAUGAACAUACUGGCAGAUGUUAUAGAUGAGAGCACAGCAUUGGGCCUCUUAAAGUGACUGCUCACCACUUGCAAGUUUCGAAUUGUAGGGUUCGUCGCUGCUAAUCCUAAUGUGGCAUUCCAUUCUACAUGAACGGCAAGUCCCAAAACUUUCAGACAACGAUGAUAGUACAGCAUUACACCACAAAUUUCCGGCGUAUCUCCAUGCCGCUCACUCGUCAGCGUGCUUCUUCUUUUUCUUCUUCUCCUUCUUGGCAGACACGUCAACCUCCAUGGGGGCGUCCUCAGCGUCUGAUUUCUUCUUCUUUUUCUUCUUCUCACCGUCGGUGUUGGCUGCAGGGGUGUCCUCGGCCUCCUUGCUCUUCUUUUUCUUCUUCUUCUCGCUAGCGUCGGUGACGGCUGCUGGAGUCUCCUCGAUGUCCUUGGAUUUCUUCUUCUUCUUCUUGGACUUCUCUUUCUCCUGCUCGCCGUCCUGUUCAGCUGCCUCCGCAGUAGGUUCUUCCUCUUGGUGCUUCCUCUUCUUUGAAGCAACUUCUGACUUCUUUGGCGUUUCUUCAGUGGUUUGUCCAAGCACUAGAUCUGCUGCUGAGUUGUAAGUCUGACAAUGACAAACAAAGUAAGGUCAGGCAAAUUUCAAACUCUAUUUGUUCAACAACAGUAUGUAUAGAUGAUCAUUACUGGGAAAUCCAAAAGCUGUUGGCUAAACACAUGCUCUGUGACAGAAUAUGCAGCGUGCUCACUUGGACACUCUUAAUUAACAGCAAGUUUCGUUUUUGCAAUUGUUAGAUCUGCCCGGAUCUUGACCAAUAAGAACAAAGUCGUAACAUCCUGAUAAUUAUCUUUCAAUUAAAAAUCAUCCUCCAGUUAAAUUAGAAUUCUACUGUUUUUGACAAAUGACAAGGUUUAACAACUGGCCUACACUUUGAAAAUCAUCCUCCAGUUAAAUGAGAAUUCUCCUGUUUUUGACAAAUGACAAGGUUUAACAACUGGCCUACACUUUGAAACAUAGAGCAAGCGAAAAACAACUUACUUUAGCGGGAGUGAUCAGAGCACCACCACCCUUCCGGUCCUUUUCAUACGCUUCUAUCUUGGGCUUUCCUUUCGUGGAACCAGCAGACCUCCCAAGUUCCUUACCCUCAAGAACUCGAAGCCGUGUUUCAAGCUGUUCAAAGAUUCAAAUAUGAGAACAAUAUCUUAUCUAUGGUGUCAAAAAAUUGCCUCUACACCACGGUAACAGGUACCUUGAUCCUGCUUUCAAGACCCAUGGAGUUAUCGUCACCGUCAGCAAGGGCAUCAUAUCUUAUGGCAAGUGCACUCUUAGCAGCAAGCGAGCGAGAGAUCUUUCCCUUGUGCUUCGGAGCCGCCUGUCCAAUUAAUGAUGCAUGAUAGAUGAGACCAUACUUUGGUGUGGCAUGCUUUGUCUUCAGAGCUCUGAAUAAGGCCUGCAGAAAAAAUAACCAGUUUAAGUCCCUGGGGCUGGAGCUCAAAUUCAGUUGCAGCAAAAGAAAGUGGUAACUUCAACCACAGAAGCAUGACAGUGGUCAACUACCAGAACAUCAAGUUCAACUAGUCAAAGAAAGAGGAAUUUAAAAAUUCACAGAAAUACACUGUAUGUAAUUCAACAAACCUUCUCUGCCCCCAGAAUCUGAAUCGUGCUGCCAGGCUGCUUCGCCAGAUUCAUCAAACUACCACCAUGGGAAAUAAGGCGAGCACCAACAAGUUCACCAACAAGUGCAGUCAAGUUGGGAGCAAUGGUAUUCAUCCUACUUUUUAGAUAGUCAUAGAGCUGGGCUCUGUACUCAGAAAGAGCCAGGACUUGAUCACACAGUUCCCUGAUGUUUGAGAGGUCAAGAUCAUUGACUUCUGUUCCCAUGGAAAUUACAGCUGCCUCCUUCAGCUCUGCUUCCACCUCUUCUGGCAGUAUCUAAAAGAAGCAGAAGCAAUCACUUAAUGCCAGGUUUCAGGCACAUGCACAACACAAGUUUGGACAUGUGGACACAGUUUACCUCAGAGAAGUCAAGGUUAACUGCAUUAACACGAUUGCCCAUCAUCUUCACAGCUUUCGCGUAAUGGAUGUUAUCUGCAACAAUUUUCGUGAGCUCCGGAAAGUGCCAACCGUACCAUUCACGGACCCUCAUAGCGUAAGUGUUAAGCUCCUUGUCAAGAUCGUCCAACAAGCCAAUGGCCUGAAUGAUCAUAGUGUCAACCUACGUAAAUGGGCACAAUCAUGAAUUAGUGUAGCUUUACUUGUGCAUAGGUAAAAAAUGAAGAACACACAGCCAAAAGAAGAGCAUAACCAGAAGGCAUGCUAGAAAAUAUAGAGCAUAGUUUGUAACAGCGAGCACGAAGCAUGAAAAUAAUUUCAGAGUAAGCAUCACAAUCCUGGGUGCUUUGCAGCAGUAGAAAGCUCACCUUUUCAGGGCUGAACUUGAGUUUAUACCUAGACAAGCUGUGGGACAAUCCUAGGCUCAUUGGACCUAGAUCAUGCUCAGCUAGUCCAGACAUAAGUUCAGUGAGCUGGUUCCUCAGCCCUCUCAUCAGUUCCAUAACAGCAGAGUUGUGAAGGCAAUCAAUUUGCUGCAAAAUCACAAUAUUAUACAAUAAUACUGAUCAACGCAUGUGAAUGGAACAGCCGAGUCUCCAAACCAACCAGCUUUUCUUUGAUGGCAUUCCCAAGUUUAGAAUCAGCAACAGCCAAUGUUUCACCAUCACAGUGCUUCUGCAGGAACUUGCGCAGACCCUUGCUGGGCUUGCUAUCAAUUAGCAGAGUUGCGGCUGAAAGAGCAUCAGAAGUGUUUUCAAACUUGUUGAAAGCCUUCAGCUCAACCACCUGAUAUAAAAUCCAUUACGGCAAGUCAGUAAUACUAAUCCAGGUAAGCACCCUUAACAUGAACCAACAAAGAGAGCCCUAUAAGACAAUGCUGAAGAAUCUUAACAAAACAACAAGCACCAUUGAUCGUUCAACAGGAAACAUGCAAAAAAUACAUCACAAAGGACCCACAGACUAAGCCUCUCACAUAUCUAGUACAACAGCAUACUAAACUAAUCUUAUGUAAUAACUGGCUUGGAAAAACUGUAAUUUUCACUGGUAACAUCUGGGGACCCAGUAAAGAUUGAAACUUUAUCAAAGCAGCCACCACAAUAAUACUACAUACACAUGUUUCUGCAUUAACAGAUGCUAUGCCUGAUUCCAAAACAACCACAGUACAAUACUCAAUAACAAGGCAGUGGAACCGUGAUAAGUCAGAGCAAACCACAACACCCAUGAGUAACUCAAAAGACAGAGCCAUGAAUCAUCCCACCUUUCUUGCUUUGUCCGACGAGGCAAAGUCCUUCCACAGAUCCUGCGAACCAAAAGCACGGCAAGGAUGAGUCGACUAAACAAAACAAACGCCUUUGACCAUACGCGAGCACGGCCGUACACGGGUAGGGAGACGGAGGGAACGGAGCCAAUACCUCGACGCUGCUGAGCUUCCCCUCGUCCAGCACCUUGAAGAGGGCGAACCCCGCGGGCGUCUCGAAGAGCACCAACAUCUCCUCCUCCGCACCUGCCGGCAAAACCCCCAACCAUAGCACGAACGCGUCAGCACACCAACCACGCCGACGGGACACCGCGAGAGCGGGGAGAAGGGAGGCCGCGGAGCCGCCGAGGCGGCGGCGCUAGGGAUUCUUGUACCUUACCUGUGUAUAGGAGGACGAGCUGUGGUGGAGGAGGCGCUGGCGGCGGCGGCGAGGGGAGAGGGGAGGAGAGGAAAAGAGGCGCCGCGCGGGGUGAGGAGAAGGAGGAAGGCAGCCAGGGUUUUAGGGCUCGGCUUAUAUCGGCGGAGCGGCGUGGAGAGGUUUAGCAGGGCCCACCUCGCGCGUUCCGUGGGCCGUAGCGGGCUGCUCUGCUGUGGGCCGUCCUUGCUGGGCCUGGAAUAAGAGUCUCACAAUGACGUGGCCCAUCACCUCAAGACCUGGAAUUGGUCAACCCUAAAAAAACGUACAGCGUCGAGCACGUGAACGGGCAUAGUUUUUUUUUUCGAGUGAAUGAACGAGCAUAGGUAAGGAUCUUAGACCAAUCAGCCUUUUUUUAGGGCGAAUCAGUCUUUGUAAUGUACUCCGUAGUGUGCAAGUUGGUUUCAAAGAUACUUGCAAUUCGCUUAAAACAAAUUCUUCAUAAAUUAUGCACAUGAUCAAAGUGCCUUUGUAUCGGACUAGUUGAUUACGGAAUUUUUUAGAACCAUGCAGGAGAGCCGCAUGUGUUUCAUUUGAUAGAAAGAAGAGUGCAACGUCAAGAAGGCACCGUACAACGUCAAAGAUGACACGACCCAAACAACAAAAACCACAACCUAGACAACAUUGAGAAACUAAGGAUCGGGCACAAGCGUCGGCAACAAACGACCUAGACAUAACACUAGAGGUCAAACAAGUACAAGUAAGGACCACAAAGAAGCAUGAAAGCAAUGACCAGACGCCGAAGGAGCUAGCAUCAUCGGAGAGUAACAACCAUGACAACAAAAGCACACCUCCUUCGAAAUGGCCAUUACCACCAGCUCGAAAAGAUCCAACUUGCACGAGCAUAUGAGUGCCGCCGCCAGGACGACCAAAGACAACUCCACUUCCACAAUGAAGGACGCCAUCACUGCGCGCAACGAGGCCAAAGCCCAACGAAACUAGAACGACCGUCACCCAGGCCAUAGUAGGAAUGCCAAUGGGGCGCGGAUGCGGAUAGAGGGGAGUAUGUAACGCGCACGAGCAAGGAAGAUGACUUCAGUCACAACCAAUGGUCAAGCAUGGCAAAUGAGCGAGGAAGAGAUGUGCAACGCUCUCUAAGGCAACCCGACUAAAGAAGGCGAGGGCGAACUGCCAUGAAAACAAAGUCACUCACACAAAACCCAGCCACCAAGGACCAACGACCAUAAAGCGACCAACAUCAAACCAUAUCUUGACCACAACUCAACGCUCAUCACCCGACUCAUAGAAUCGACGAGAGGUAGGAGGUCAGACGGUGGGAGGGUUGCCCGAGUCAAGAAUGACCGAGAGGAGAAGCAGGGUAGCAAAAUCGGCAGCGAGUCCCCUGACUCUAGAUGGACAUGGCUGAAGAAAGGUAGGAGCCCACCAAUAACAACUAGAUCUAACUCGAGAACCAUGGGAGGAAUCAUACGACAAGAGUUUAUUUUAAUUGAGUCUUUGUUCCUUCUUCACUUGCCAUUAUGGGUCAAUUAGUGUUUGAGUCCAAGCCUCCAUUUUAUUCACAUUACCAUCUCCUCGCAUUGCCUUGUUUCACACAAGAAGACAACAAUGAGUAUUCACCAAGCACACCAACUCUUGAACUGUCUGAGGUUGUCCAAACCCCGGCAGUUCCAGCUUAUACAUAUUAAAUACAUGACUAUAUACAUUGAUCCUCGGUUAAUUCGGCUUAAAUGGUACAUAUUAGAAAUGUGUGGUCCCGUGUUAGGCAAAGUGAAUACAUGCCAGUAAUAUCAAGACCAAGUGAAUACAUAUCGGAAUUAAUAUCUCGUAAACAUAUAUCAUUGCUAGACUGCGUGAAUGCAAGCGAGAACUAAUAUCUACCAGCAUGUGUACUAGGAAAAACCCGUUCUGACUGUAAUGAUUAAGUGCACCUUUUGUGACAUUAGGCUCCUAGAAUUAAAUCAUGAAAUUGUGGGUUUUCUUGGAAGGGUACGUUUCGUGAGGUUAGUAUCAUGAAAUUCCAAGAGCAAUUACCAUGAACUUCUCUCUUUUUUCACUUAAAAUGAUAAAGGCACAAAAUAUCUAGGGAAUUCACUCAAAUUAUUUUUACAUAAUUUUCCAGGAAUCAGAACCAUUAAUUUAUAGUUUUGUAUAGAAGACACAUAACUUGUUUGAAUUAGUGUCAUAGGUUUAUAGCUAUCUUUUCUCUUAUGGAAAACCUAUCUUGUAAACAAAACACGAUAGCACCAAAAUAAAUAUCCACUUUUGAGAGAAAGGGUAAAAGUAUAAGGCCUUAUACAAUGCAAGGUGCUUAGGGGAGGUGCUUAGAGAAAUAAACCAGGCUUUCCUUAAGCACAAGUGCUUAUUUGUAUGGGGUAGACGCUUAAUUAGGCGUCUCUGCUUUUAGAAAUAGGCACCGGUGCUUCAGAAAAACCGGUUUAUUUUUCUAAGCACCUCCCUAAGCACCUAGCAUUGUACAAGGCCUAACUCUCAUCCAUGUUCAAACCAAAAGGUAUACUCCAAAUGGCAAUCAACAUAUAUUGAAGACCAGGCGAAUGGGAGACACGAUUCCUGAAUCCAUAUCUAGGCUAAUUUCAUAGAAAUCUCAAUGCAUGAGAUUUGGUCUAUGGUCUACAAGGGGGUGUUCAAUAGACAUAAUAUAAAAUUUGAUGCAAGUUUUCGAAUUGGGUAGUUUUAAGCACAAGAGGCUAGUUGAAAAAUCAAGUAAUCACAGUGAGUAGAGAAGUGAAAAUAGAGUAACUUGCAUGGAAGUAAGGGAGUAGAGUAGAGAAUGCAAACAUUUGUUGACACAGGGAUGUUUGUGGUUCAGAUCGUUGGCACUAUCUUACAUCCACGUUGAUGGAGGCUUCGAGCCAAAUGAUUCUAAGAUUCAAUAAUUCCAUUUGUGAUGCCCAAGUGUCCUACGAAGCACGACUGACCUAUUCCGUCAUGCUUGCAGUUAGAAGCCCCGCUAGGAUAAAAUCUUUCACCAAAUGAGUGACCGGGUGAUCUCUUGGCCCGUACAAACUCUUGUGUCCUUCACACGUAGAACUUGAUAGGAUCACAAGAGACUCCUAACCAUCUAGGAUGCUCUCACCAUCCGAGAGUAAUAAGCAAAACAAUGUUACUUAAUAUAAGAACUCCUUGAAAGAUCUGCAAUCAAAGCUUCUCUUAAGAAUCCAUAGAAAAACUAUCUCGCAAGGAUAGGAUUUGUGGUCAAAGAGAUGAACUGGAGGUUUAGGGAUUCAAUAGAGGGGGGNNNNNNNNNNNNNNNNNNNNNNNNNNNNNNNNNNNNNNNNNNNNNNNNNNNNNNNNNNNNNNNNNNNNNNNNNNNNNNNNNNNNNNNNNNNNNNNNNNNNNNNNNNNNNNNNNNNNNNNNNNNNNNNNNNNNNNNNNNNNNNNNNNNNNNNNNNNNNNNNNNNNNNNNNNNNNNNNNNNNNNNNNNNNNNNNNNNNNNNNNNNNNNNNNNNNNNNNNNNNNNNNNNNNNNNNNNNNNNNNNNCUAUUAAAGAAUCAAUAAGUGAACAUAGAGUCACCCAACACUUUUCUUCUUUUCUUGCCAUGGAGCUAUCUAUCUCUAGAGAGAAUUCCUUAUUUGGUCCUUUCUUAAAAUUUGCUUCCCUAUUUGGCCCAAAAUAAAAAAAGUUCCCUAUCUGACACCUAAAGUAAAUUUUGUUCCUUAUUUGACACUUUCGUCCAUUUUAGACACUAAGGGGUUUAAGUGUGAAGUGAAAAGACCAUUUUGCCCCUAGUACAUUGUGUAACUAUCAUGGAUAUAGUAAAAAAAGCAACCAGCUCACCCAUAUUUUAGGGAUGUUUAAUGGAUGCUGCGCAUAUAUGUGUAUGCUCUAAUAUUUUGUUCAUUAGGUAAGUCUGUGCGUGUAAAAGCAUAUAAAAUAUCCGUAGAAGUUUUACUAGCAUAUAUAUCAGUACAAUAUUUUUUUUACGAAUAAGUACAGUACCAUAUACACUCGCAGAAAAGUACAGUGCAAUAUACCAUAUUUUGGUUAGUCUCGCCGGCCGAUUAGCCCACGGCGCUGAGGCGGUCUCGGCCUUGGGCGUCCACGCACAUGGCGCCAUGACGUGCGGGUUGAGGGGAGCCUCGGCGUGCGUGGAUAAGAGCUGCGGCGUGGAGGCUGGCGGCGCGUGUGCGUGCAUCUCCUCCGAGCCGAGCUUGGCGGUCUGCCUGCGUGUCUUCCCUCACAGCUGCACGGGACGGGAGGCUUUAUCGAUCGCUGAUAGGUAACUUGGGCCUUGGCUUGUUGAGUCACCGUUGGGUGCAAAUACGGAGUAUACAUUGGUGCAUGCAUGCAGGCCAAUUAUAAACUUGUAUAGUUUUGCAUGCACGUAUGUAUCUCUUUUAGCAAUUAUUUCUCUUAGAUCAAAGUGUAAAACUUCAAUCUUUUUGGAGCACUCUAUUUUACAUGAUGAACUCUACAAAUAAAGUUCAAUAUUGAAUAUAUUCUCUCACUCAUAAAUUUUCUAACAACACGUGGUACCUACACAUCAUACAGUAGUACUUUGCUAGAUCAAAGUUACAUUUUUUUCACAUAUAUACACUCGUAUUUAUUUGUUUGCUGGUCCAUCACGGCUUACAUAAAUAAUUGGGUUUAGUGCGUAAAAAAUUCAUCAAACACUAAUCGAAAUAUGGUACUGUAUUGAUCAUAGAUAUGCUUGUACAAAUACAUGGAUGAACUGAUUGCUUUUUUAUUACAUCCAGAAUAGUUACAAAAUGCACUAGGGGCAAAAUGGUCUUUUCACCUCAUACUUAACACCUUUAGUGCCUAAAAUGGGCAGAAGUGUCAUAUAAGGAACAAAAUUUACUUUAGGUGUCAAAUAGGGUAGAAAUUUUUAUUUUGGGUCAAAUAGGGAAGCAAAUUUUAAGAAAGGGCCAAAUAAGGAAUUCUCUCCUAUCUCUAUAUGGUAGGUGGAUUUGAGUGGGGUGGAAUGUGAUGUGGGUGGCUAGCUAGCAAUGAAAGUGUGGUGGACUGGUUGUGAGGGAAUGGAUGAUUGGAACCACAAAAAGGGUAUGGUAGAGAAUAUAUAUAGAGGGAUAUCAAAAUCUAGCCAUUACUAAAAAAUUGUAACUAAGACUCGGAAGCACCGGUUGCUUGUAAACUAGCAAAACUAUGGAACUAGUUCAAAUAAAUUCGAAUGGCCAGGACAGUGUUCAGAAAUAAGGAGAAAUAUAGUACUCAGAAGUACCGAUGAAAGAAUGAGUGGGGGUUUUAGCACAAAAGGUGGCACCUUUUUGGCGAGGAUAAAACGAGUCAAAAGUACCCGUAAAACUAAUUUCUCUAUAGCACUGUACAAAUCAAAGCAGUUGCUAGAUUGAGAAUCUGUAGAGUAGAGGUAAGUCAUAAAACUGAAAGUUCUAAAAAAGAGGCAAAGCUUAUAUUGUAACCAGCAGGAAAGCAAACUGAGACGACUCAGAAGUGCCGAUGAAAUGUUAUGCUUGAAAGUACUGAUGCAAACAAAAAACAUGUCAAAGUGGAAAUAUGUGGAUCAAAAGUUCCAGAACAAAGGAAUCCAUGGUUCUGAACACCUCGAGUUUGUAGAGCAAAUACCUCAACUUUGUUGAGUUCCCCCUCAUCCAACAACUUGAAUGGGAUGAGUCCCACGAGCGCCUCGAACAACAACAACAUAUAUUCCUCACUUAGCGAGAAAUUAAAAAAAUAGCACACACGUGUCAGCCCAGCAACCACACCACUAAGACACCAAGAGAAUCACGAGAAGGGAAGACAUGGAGUCGCCAAGGCAGCGACGUCAACAACUGCUCCUCACCUGCUAGAACCCGUAAAAAAAACCAACCCCAUCACACACAUGUGAGCCCACCUACCACGCCGCUGAGGCAAGGGAGGGCGAAGGGAGUCUUACCUAUUUCGGGGGGUAAGAGCAUCUCCAAUAGAUGAUGUAGAUGCAAAAUAACUAACUUUUGCAUCUGUGAGGCAAAAAAAAAACCAUCCCUAACAGAUGAUGUAGAUACAAUUUUUUUACAUUACCUCCUCCAAAAGAUGUAACAUACAACACCUCCACCUUCAGGUGAUGUAAAACUGGCGGCCGCGCGCCAACCGCCAAACGCUCUUCUUUUCAUCCCCGCACCCACUUCUUCUUCCUCCCACCUCCAGCCGCACUGUUGCCGCCCCCCGCCCGCCCACACUACAAAAAAUACACUUCCGUAAUGAUACGUGUUUGUCACAGUAGGUCAUGUUUUCUGUCAUGCAUGUACAUCCAUGAUGAUUUUAUGACAGAAUCAAGAUAGUCAUACCUGUGCUGUCGUAGAAGUGUUCCAUGACAUUACCAAAAUUAUCAUCACGGAAGUGUCCACUUCCAUGAGGAUAAAUGGCGCGUCAUGGAAGUGUUUUCGUCAAGGGUAACCGACACGUGGCAUCCAUCGUAACGGGUCACCGUUAAGCUAUCGGGUCCGGUUUUGGAUCGGAUAACCCGUUAACAGCCCGGAUCAAUGAGGAUUAUCCACGUGUAAAAUUCUCAUUGGCCGGAGGAAACACGUGUUGGCUCACCGUUGGGACAGAUGUCAUCCAUUAAUUGGACAUGAGGCACCUAUGAUACGUCGACACGUGGCACGGCCCAACAGAGGCCCAUUCCAGUGAAAAGGCCGACCCGUUUGACUUGGUCAAAAGGUAACGGACCGACCCACGGAAAGAACAACCUGUUCGUAUAUAGCCCAUUUACGGCCCGCUAACUCACGACCCGUUACGGCCUAUCGGAAUUAAGCCCAGUAGCUUCAUCUGGGCCGUCCAAUAUGAUUCCAGCCCGUUGUAACUUCCGGCCCAUGUAUGGCCCAUGAUGUCUUUCGGCCCAUACAAGGCCAUUUGUAACUCUUGGCCCAUUAACGACCCGUGGUGAAUCUGGCCAGCAAUGAAUAGUGUACCGUUUUAUACCCAUUAACGGCCCAUUAUUCCAUUGGACCGUUUCCACCCCGUGUUAUCUUUCGGCCUUCUCAGGGCCCAUUUAUUCUUGGCCUCAUUUUCAUCAUUCGGUUACUUACGGCCCGUUACUGGCCUUUUCUGCUUGUGGGCCAAAUUUAGCUCGUGGUUACAAUCGGCCUGUUAAACCGUUGGGCCGUUUCCAUAGCGUCAUCAAAUAUGGCCGAUUAACGACGACACAUUAUGGUCGGCCCAUGAACGGACGAUUCCAAAUCUAGCCCGUUUAUGGCCCAUAAUGCGGUCUGUUAUUGGCCCAUGUUUGGCCGAUCGAUCAUACGGCCCGUAGAAGGCCCAUUGAUGGUACGGCUCAUAGAAGGCCCAUUGUUCCUACGACCCUUAGAAGGCCCAUUGUUUCUACGGCCCGUAGGAGGCCCAUGGUAACUACAGUAAAUAUGUAGCCCAUGGUUAUUGUGGCCUAGUUUUAAAAAUUAGGUUAUUGCAACCACUAGCAAACCGCGGAAAAAGAACUGCACUGACUACAAGCAAACAAAUAAACAAGACAACAAGGAAAUAAAUAAGCAAGCAACUUACGCUAGGCUAUCACGGCUAUUACACAUAUUACAUCCACUGGGCAUCAAAGUUCGCCACCAGUGCAAAUAUAGGGAACAAAGCAGCAUAUCAUAUACACUGGUUGUCAAAGUUGGCGACCAGUGCAACUAAACGCCGCAGCAAAACAAGUCCAGAACUGAGCUCAAGAAACAAUAUCCUGGGUACCCAUAAUGCUGGCAAGAUGCUUAGCAAGCUUAUUAACUUUCUCUUGUUUGGCGCUUAAAUCCUCCAGCACUUGCUGUUGCACCAGAAAGUAUGCAUCUGAAUUCUGCAGGGACUUCCUCAGUCCUUCGGCUUCCUGUCGCAUAACAUCUGAUCGAUGUCUUUCAACUUGAAGUUGAGACUCAAGAAGCCGAAUUGAUUCAGGCAGUGAGUUCGAAGAGCUGGUGCCAGCAGUAGUAUCCAGUAACUCGAAGACUACAUCAAGACAAGACUUUGGGGUUGUCUCAGUGUCUUCAAUAUAAUUUUUAUCAUCUUUCUUGGAGACCAACAAGGAUGUCUCACUAUCUUGAACCUUAUCUGCAUUACUUCCUUUACCAUUGCAUAACGGGGUACUCUUCUCCAAUAUUUUAUCCGCGUUCUAAAAGAGAAACAAACAAACAAACACAUCACAGGUUUACCAUGUUGUAUAUGAAACUCAUUUUGGUAAACCAGUUCAGUAGUAAGGUGGACAGGAUAACAACAUGAAACAAACAUAUAUCUAUGUAGUAUGGUCACUGUAUGGUCUAUAUCAUUCUAGUUUAUGUUGCCAAAUCAAGAUAAAGACAGUUCAAAUCAUAUCUAUUUAAGACAAAGCAGCAUAGAAAGAAUAUAAGUGUGGGAAACUACACAACAAUAACAAAACUUGUAAUGUGGAUGGCAUGAGAACAUAACUGUUUAUUCAAUUGAAACUGGAAUCAACAUAGAGCAAGUUACAAUAGCUAACACGUUAAAGAAACAGGUUUAAAACAUACCUGUUGCGCCAUUGGAGUUUCAGUUGCAUCCUUCAAGUUUGAAAUUAGUUGGUAUGAGUGAAUACAGUGAUGCAAUAGCAAAGUAGUAUGAACCAUAGCUACGGAACCUGACCUAAGAACAAUUCUUCUUCUGCUUUAAGCGUUGACUUGGGGUUCGGAGUGGUGGUCCUCGUGCUUUGGGCACUGCAGUUGCCUUACUAACUGCUCGUGUUUGGGUGCUCUGUGGUGGAGACGGUGCUGUGUCAACUGGAACUGGGUUACUAUCUAUUGGGGUUGGGGUUAGAAGGGGUGUAGCUGGUUCUCUGUCCAACUGGGUAGGGGUACAAUCUGCGUGAGUCUGGGUUAUGUGUGGUGGGGCUGGUUCUUGGGCAAGUACAACUGUGGCUCUAUCUACAUCGACAGGUAGCACGAUCUUUUCUGAAGACCGUGUUUUUACUCCCACAGAUACUGCCAUCACCCCCUCCAAUUGAAAUGGCUGAUAAACAAGAAAAGUAAUUGAAUAUACAGACAUUGUAAGAUAGACAGUUGCAAUGGAUAGUAGGGAAGAAAACAGGGCAUGAAAUAAUUCACAUUUAUGUUGUCUAACCAAACAGAAUAACAUGACAUAAUUCCACAUAUAUGAUGGCUAAUUAAACAGGAUAACAUGACACAAUUUCACAUGUAUGAUGGCUAACUAAAUAGGAUAGAAUGACAUACUUCAAAAUAUGAUGAUUAUGUAAACAGGAUGACAUGAUAUAACUAUAUGAUGUGUCUAUUAAAGUGGUUGGCAUGCCAUAAAUCACAAACAUGCCGUCGAUGGAAACAUGAUGGCAUGAUAUAAUUCACGGAUAGAAUGACAUAAUUCAAAAUAUGAUGACUAUGUAAACAGGAUGAGAUGAUAUAACUAUAUUAUGUCUUUAGAAAAUGGGUUAGCAUGCCAUAAUUCAGAUACAUGCUGUCUAUGUAAACAUCAUGGCAUGAUAUAAUUCAAAUAUAUGAUUUAUAUACUAAGCCAGUGAGCAGAGAGAAAUCACAUAUAUGAUGUGUCAACUAAGGAGAUGGCAUCCAAUAUUGUGUAUAUCAUGUAAAAACUAAGCAUUGCAAUACAAUAUAUGCAUGAUAUGAGUAAUAUAACCCUGCCAAGUUUGAGCAUACACCUUAGGAGGAUAAUAGUGUUAGAAAUAUGCCCUAGAGGCAAUAAUAAAUUGGUUAUUAUUAUAUUUCCUUGUUCAUGAUAAUCGUUUAUUAUCCAUGCUAGAAUUGUAUUGAUAGGAAACUCAGAUACAUGUGUGGAUACAUAGACAACACCAUGUCCCUAGUAAGCCUCUAGUUGACUAGCUCGUUGAUCAAUAGAUGGUUACGGUUUCCUAACCAUGGACAUUGGAUGUCGUUGAUAAUGGGAUCACAUCAUUAGGAGAAUGAUGUGGACAAGACCCAAUCCUAAGCCUAGCACAAGAUCGUGUAGUUCGUUUGCUCAGAGCUUUUCUAAUGUCAAGUAUCAUUUCCUUAGACCAUGAGAUUGUGCAACUCCCGGAUACCGUAGGAAUGCUUUGGGUGUGCCAAACGUCACAACGUAACUGGGUGGCUAUAAAGGUGCACUACGGGUAUCUCCGAAAGUGUCUGUUGGGUUGGCACGAAUCGAGACUGGGAUUUGUCACUCCGUGUAAACGGAGAGGUAUCUCUGGGCCCACUCGGUAGGACAUCAUCAUAAUGUGCACAAUGUGACCAAGGAGUUGAUCAUGGGAUGAUGUGAGUUACGGAACGAGUAAAGAGACUUGCCGGUAACGAGAUUGAACAAGGUAUAGGGAUACCGACGAUCGAAUCUCGGGCAAGUAACAUACCGUUAGACAAAGGGAAUUGCAUACGGGAUUGAUUGAAUCCCCGACAUCGUGGUUCGUCCGAUGAGAUCAUCGUGGAACAUGUGGGAGCCAACAUGGGUAUCCAGAUCCCGCUGUUGGUGAUUGACCGGAGAACGUCUCGGUCAUGUCUGCAUGGUUCCCGAACCCGUAGGGUCUACACGCUUAAGGUUCGAUGACGCUAGGGUUAUAGGGAAAGUAUGUACGUGGUUACCGAAUGUUGUUCGGAGUCCCGGAUGAGAUCCCGGACGUCAGGAGGAGUUCCGGAAUGGUCCGGAGGUAAAGAUUUAUAUAUGGGAAGUCCUGUUUUGGUCACCGGAAAAGUUUCGGGUGAAAUCGGUAAUGUACCGGGACCACCGGGAGGGUCCCAGGGGUCCACCAAGUGGGGCCACCAGCCCCAGAAGGCUGCGUGGGACAAGUGUGGGAGGGGACCAGCCCCAGGUGGGCUGGUGCGCCCCCCCACCAAGGCCCAAGGCGCAUGGGAGAGUGGGAGGGGGCAAACCCUAGGUCCAGAUGGGCCUUAGGGCCCAUCUAGUGGGGCGCCCCCCUCUCCUCCCCUUGCCCCCCCCCCUUGAUGGGAUCUAGGGCUGGCUGCCUCCUCUUGGGGGUGGAAACCCUAAGGGGGGCGCAGCCCCCUCCCCCUAUAUAUAGUUGAGGUUUGGGCUGCCCAAGACACAUGAGAAAGUCUCUCUUUUGGCGCAGCCCUACCCCUCUCCCUCCUCCUCCUCUCCCGCGGUGCUUGGCGAAGUCCUGCGGGAUUGCCACGCUCCUCCAUCACCACCACGCUGUUGUGCUGCUGCUGGAUGGAGUCUUCCCCAACCUCUCCCUCUCACCUUGCUGGAUCAAGGCGUGGGAGACGUCACCGGGCUGCACGUGUGUUGAACGCGGAGGCGCCGUGGUUCGGCGCUUAGAUCGGAAUCAACCGCGAUCUGAAUCGCUUCGAGUACGACUCCCUCAUCCGCGUUCUUGCAACGCUUCCGCAUCGCGAUCUACAAGGGUAUGUAGAUGCACUCCCCUUCCCCUCGUUGCUAGAUCACUCCAUAGAUUGAUCUUGGUGAUGCGUAGAAAAUUUUGAAUUUCUGCUACGUUCCCCAACAGUGGAAUCAUGAGCUAGGUCUAUGCGUAGUUUCUAUGCACGAGUAGAACACAAAGUAGUUGUGGGCGUAGAUGUUGCCAAUUCUUCUUGCCGCUACUAGUCUUAUCUUGUUUCGGCGGCAUUGUGGGAUGAAGCGGCCCGGACCGACCUUACACGUACACUUAUGUGAGACAGGUUCCACCGACUGACAUGCACUAGUUGCAUAAGGUGGCUAGCGGGUGUCUGUCUCUCCCACUUUAGUCGGAACGGAUUCGAUGAAAAGGGUCCUUAUGAAGGGUAAAUAGAAAUUGGCAUAUCACGUUGUGGCUUUUGCGUAGGUAAGAAACGUUCUUGCUAGAAUCCCAUAGCAGCCACGUAAAACAUGCAACAACAAUUAGAGGACGUCUAACUUGUUUCUGCAGGGUAUGCUAUGUGAUGUGAUAUGGCCAAAAGGAUGUGAUGAAUGAUAUAUGUGAUGUAUGAGAUUGAUCAUGUUCUUGUAAUAGGAAUCACGACUUGCAUGUCGAUGAGUAUGACAACCGGCAGGAUCCAUAGGAGUUGUCUUAAUUUAUUAUAUGACCUGCGUGUCAUUGAAUAACGCCAUGUAAAUUACUUUACUUUGUUGCUAAGCGCGUUAGCCAUAGAAGUAGAAGUAAUCGUUGGCGUGACAACUUCACGAAGACACAAUGAUGGAGAUCAUGAUGAUGGAGAUCAUGGUGUCAUGCCGGUGACAAAGAUGAUCAUGGUGCCCCGAAGAUGGAGAUCAAAGGAGCAAAAUGAUAUUGGCCAUAUCAUGUCACUAUUUGAUUGCAUGUGAUGUUUAUCAUGUUAUGCAUCUUAUUUGCUUAGAACGACGGUAGUAAGUAAGAUGAUCCCUCACUAAAAAUUUCAAGAGACGUGUUCCCCCUAACUGUGCACCGUUGCGAAGGUUCGUUGUUUCGAAGCACCACGUGAUGAUCGGGUGUGAUAGAUUCUAACGUUCGAAUACAACGGGUGUUGACGAGCCUAGCAUGUACAGACAUGGCCUCGGAACACAUGCAAAACACUUAGGUUGACUUGACGAGCCUAGCAUGUACAGACAUGGCCUCGGAACACAAGAGACCGAAAGGUCGAACAUGAGUCGUAUAGGAGAUACGAUCAACAUGGAGAUGUUCACCGAUGAUGACUAGUCCGUCUCACGUGAUGAUCGGACACGGCCUAGUUUGACUCGGAUCAUGUAUCACUUAGAAGACUAGAGGGAUGUCUAUCUGAGUGGGAGUUCAUUAAUCAAAUGAACUUAAUUAUCAUGAACAUAGUCAAAAGAUCUUUGCAAAUUAUGUCAUACGCUUUAGUUCUACUGGUUGAGAUAUGUUCCUAGAGAAAAUUUAGUUGAAAGUUGGUAGUAGCAAUUAUGCGGACUGGGUCCGUAAACUGAGGAUUGUCCUCAUUGCUGCACAGAUGGCUUAUGUCCUUAAUGCACCGCUCAGUGUGCUGAACCUCAACGUCGUCUGUAGAUGUUACGAAACAUCUGACAUACACGUUUUGAUGACUACGUGAUAGUUCAGUGCGGUUUAGAAUUGUGGCACCAAAGACGUUUUUGAAAUGUCACAGAACAUGUGAGAUGUUCCGAAGACUGAAAUUGGGAUUUCAUACUAGUGCCCACGUCAAGAGGUAUGAGACCUCUGACAAGUUUCUUAAGCCUGCAAACUAAGGGAGAAAAGCUCAAUCGUUGAGCAUGUGCUCAGAUUGUCUGAAUACCACAAUCGCUUGAAUCGAGUGGGAGUUAAUCUCCCAGAUGAGACAGUGAUGGUUCUCCAUAGUCACUGCCACCAAGCUAGUAGAGCUUCGUGAUGAACUAUAACAUAUCGGGGAUAGUUAUGAUGAUCCUUGAGCUAUUCGCGAUGUUUGACACCGCGAAAGUAGAAAUCAAGAAGGAGCAUCAAUUGUUGAUGGUUAGUAAAACCACUAGUUUCUAGAAGGGCAAGGGCAAGAAGGGAUACUUCAUGAAACAGCAAAUCAUUUGCUGCUCUAGUGAAGAAUCCCAAGGUUGAACCCAAACCCGAGACUAAGUGCUUCUGUAAUGAGGGAACGGUCACUGAAGCAGAACUACCCUAGAUACUUGGUAGAUGAGAAGGCAGGCAAGGUCGACAGAAGUAUAUUGGAUAUACAUUAUAUGAAUGUGUACUUUACUUGUACUCCUAGCAGCACCAGGGUAUUAGAUACCAGUUCGGUUGCUAAGUGUUAGUAACUCGAAAUAAAAGCUGCGGAAUAAACGGAGACUAGCUAAAGGUGAGAUGACGAUAUGUGUUGGAAGUGUUUCCAAGGUUGAUGUGAUCAAGCAUCGCAUGCUCCCUCUACCAUCGAGAUUUGGUGUUUGCGUUGAGCAUGAUUGGAUUAUGUUUAUCGCAAUACGGUUAUUCAUUUAAGGAGAAUAAUGGUUACUCUGUUUAUUUGAAUAAUACCUUCAAUGGUCUUGCACCUAAAAUGAAUCUCGAUCGUAGUGAUACACAUGUUCAUGCCAAAAGAUAUAAGAUAGUAAUGAUAGUACCACAUACUUGUGGCACUGCCACUUGAGUCAUAUUGGUAUAAAACGCAUGAAGAAGCUCCAUGUAGAUGGAUCUUUGGACUCGCUCGUUUUUGAAAAGAUUGAGACAUGCGAACCAUGUCUAUUGGUAUAUAUGCAUGAAGAAACUCCAUGCAGAUGGAUCAUUUGGAAUCACUUGAUUUUGAAUCACUUGAGACAUGCAAAUCAUACCACAUGGGCAAGAUGACUGAAAAGCCUCGUUUUCAGUAAGAUGGAACAAGAGAGCAACUUGUUGGAUGUAAUACAUUUUGAUGUGUGCAGUCCAAUGAGUGCUGAGGCAUGCAGUGGAUGUCGUUAAGUUCUAACUUCACAGAUGAUUUGAGUAGAUGCUGAGUAUAUUUAAUUGAUGGAACACAAGUCUGAAUUAUUGAAAGGUUCAAGUAAUUUCAGAGUGAAGUUGAAGAUCGUCGUGACAAGAGGAUAAAAUGUCUGUGAUAUGAUCAUAGAGAUGAGUAUCUGAGUUACGAGUUUGGCACACAAUUAAGACAUUGUGGAAAGUGUUUCACAAUUAAUACCGCCUGGAACACCAUAGUGUGAUGGUGUGUCCGAACAUCAUAACUGCACCCUAUUGGAUAUGGUGCAUAACAUGAUGUCUCUUAUCGAAUUACCACUAUCGUUUAUGGGUUAGGCAUUAGAGACAACCGCAUUCACUUUAAAAGGGGCACCACGCAAUUCCGUUGAGACGACACCGUUUAGAGAAACCUAAGUUGUCGUUUCUUAAAAGUUUGGGGCUGCGCAGCUUAUGUGAAAAAGUUUCAAGCUAAUAAGCUCGAACCCAAAGCGGAUAAAUACAUCUUCAUAGAAAACCCAAAACAGUUGAGUAUACCUCCUAUUUCAGAUCUGGAAGCAAAAGUAAUUGCUUCUAGAAACGAGUCCUUUCUCGAGGAAUGUUUCUCUCGAAAGAAUUGAGUGGGAGGAUGGUGGAGACUUGAUAAGGUUAUUGAACCGUCACUUCAACUAGUGUGUGGCAGGGCACAGGAAGUUGUUCCUGUGGCACCUACACCAAUUGAAGUGGAAGCUCAUGAUAGUGAUCAUGAAACUUCGGAUCAAGUCGCUACCAAACCUCGUAGGACGACGAGGAUGCGUACUACUUCAGAGUGGUACGUGAUCCUGUCUUGGAAGUCAUGUUGCUAGACAACAAUGAACCUACGAGCUAUGGGGAAGUGAUGGUGGGCCCAUAUUCCGACAAAUGGUUAAGAGCCAUGAAAUCCGAGAUAAAUGGGUCUUUGAGAAGAAGACGGACGUGGACGGUAAUGUUACCGUCUAUGAAGCUCGACUUGUGGCAAAGAGUAUUUCCACAAGUUCAAGGAGUUGACUACGAUGAGAUUUUCUCAUCCGUAGCGAUGCUUAAGUCCGUCGGAAUCAUGUUAGCAUUAGCUGCAUUUAUGAAAUCUGGCAGAUGGAUGUCAAAACAAGUUUCCUUACCAGUUUUCGUAAGGAAAGGUUGUAUGUGAUACAAUCAGAAAGGUUUUGUCGAUCCUAAGGAUGCUAAAAGGUAUGCUAGCUCCAGCGAUCCUUCCAUGGACUAGAGCAAGCAUCUCGGAGUCAGAAUAUACGCUUUGAUGGAGUGAUCAAAGUUUUUGGGUUUAUACAAGGUUUGUUGGAAACUUGUAUUUACAAUAAAGUGAGUGGGAGCGCUACAACAUUUCUGAUAAGUAUAUGUGAAUGACAUAUUGUUGAUCCGAAAUGAUGUAAAAUUUCUGGAAAGCAUAAAGGGUUGUUUGAAAGGAGUUUUUCAAAGGAAGACCUGGAUAAAGCUGCUUACAUAUUGGGCAUCAAGAUCUAUAGAGAUAGAUCAAGACGCCUGAUGAUACUUUCAAAAAAAACACACACCUUGACAUGAUUUUGAAAGAGUUCAAAAUAGAUCAGCAAAGAAGGAGUUCUUGGUUGUGUUACAAGGUGUGAGUAUUGAGUAAGACUCAAGACCUGACCACAGCAGAAGAGAGAGAAAGGACGAAGGUCGUCCCCUAUGCUUUAGACAUAGGCUCUACAGUAUGCUAUGCUGUGUACCGCACAUGAAGUGUGCCUUGCCAUGAGUUGGUCAAGGGGUACAAUAGUGAUCCGGGAAUGGAUCACAUGACAGCGGUCGAACUUAUCCUUAGUACCUAGUGGACUAAGGAAUUUUCUCGAUUAUGGAGGUGAAAAGGAGUUCGUCGUAAAGGGUUACGUCGAUGCGAACUUUGACACUAAUCCGGAUGACUCUGAGUAGUAAACCGGAUUCGUAUAGUAGAGCAAUUACUUGAAAUGGCUCCAAGUAGCGCGUGGUAGCAUCCACAAAGAUGACAUAGAUAUUCGUAAAGCACACACGGAUCUGAAAGGUUCAGACCAGUUGACUAAUAACCUCUCUCACAAGCAUAACAUGAUCAAACCAGAACUCAUUGAGUGUUAAUCACAUAGUGAUGUGAACUAGAUUGUUGACUCUAGUGAACUCUUUGGAUGUUGGUCACAUGGUGAUGUGACCUAUGACUGUUAAUCACAUGGUGAUGUGGACUAGAUUAUUGACUCUAGUGCAAGUGGGAGACUGUUAGAAAUAUGCCCUAGAGGCAAUAAUAAAUUGGUUAUUAUUAUAUUUCCUUGUUCAUGAUAAUCGUUUAUUAUCCAUGCUAGAAUUGUAUUGAUAGGAAACUCAGAUACAUGUGUGGAUACAUAGACAACACCAUGUCCCUAGUAAGCCUCUAGUUGACUAGCUCGUUGAUCAAUAGAUGGUUACGGUUUCCUGACCAUGGACAUUGGAUGUCGUUGAUAACGGGAUCACAUCAUUAGGAGAAUGAUGGGAUGGACAAGACCCAAUCCUAAGCCUAGCACAAGAUCGUGUAGUUCGUUUGCUCAGAGCUUUUCUAAUGUCAAGUAUCACUUCCUUAGACCAUGAGAUUGUGCAACUCCCGGAUACCGUAGGAAUGCUUUGGGUGUGCCAAACGUCACAACGUAACUGGGUGGCUAUAAAGGUGCACUACGGGUAUCUCCGAAAGUGUCUGUUGGGUUGGCACGAAUCGAGACUGGGAUUUGUCACUCCGUGUAAACGGAGAGGUAUCUCUGGGCCCACUCGGUAGGACAUCAUCAUAAUGUGCACAAUGUGACCAAGGAGUUGAUCACGGGAUGAUGUGAGUUACGGAACGAGUAAAGAGACUUGCCGGUAACGAGAUUGAACAAGGUAUAGGGAUACCGACGAUCGAAUCUCGGGCAAGUAACAUACCGUUAGACAAAGGGAAUUGCAUACGGGAUUGAUUGAAUCCCCGACAUCGUGGUUCAUCCGAUGAGAUCAUCGUGGAACAUGUGGGAGCCAACAUGGGUAUCCAGAUCCCGCUGUUGGUUAUUGACCGGAGAACGUCUCGGUCAUGUCUACAUGGUUCCCGAACCCGUAGGGUCUACACGCUUAAGGUUCGAUGACGCUAGGGUUAUAAGGAAAGUAUGUACGUGGUUACCGAAUGUUGUUCGGAGUCCCGGAUGAGAUCCCGGACGUCACGAGGAGUUCCAGAAUGGUCCGGAGGUAAAGAUUUAUAUAUGGGAAGUCCUGUUUUGGUCACCGGAAAAGUUUCGGGUGAUAUCGGCAAUGUACCGGGACCACCGGGAGGGUCCCGGGGGUCCACCAAGUGGGGCCACCAGACCCAGAAGGCUGCGUGGGCCAAGUGUGGGAGGGUACCAGCCCCAGGUGGGCUGGUGCGCCCCCCCACCAAGGCCCAAGGCGCAUGGGAGAGUGGGAGGGGGCAAACCCUAGGUCCAGAUGGGCCUUAGGGCCCAUCUAGUGGGGCGCCCCCCCUCUCCUCCCCUUGGCCGCCCCCCCUUGAUGGGAUCUAGGGCUGGCCGCCUCCUCUUGGGGGUGGAAACCCUAAGGGGGGCGCAGCCCCCUCCCCCCUAUAUAUAGUUGAGGUUUGGGCUGCCCAAGACACACGAGAAAGUCUCUCUUUUGGCGCAGCCCUACCCCUCUCCCUCCUCCUCCUCUCCCGCGAUGCUUGGCGAAGUCCUGCGGGAUUACCAUGCUCCUCCAUUACCACCACGCCGUCGUGCUGCUGCUGGAUGGAGUCUUCCCCAACCUCUCCCUCUCACCUUGCUGGAUCAAGGCGUGGGAGACGUCACCGGGCUGCACGUGUGUUGAACGCGGAGGCGCCGUGGUUCGGCGCUUAGAUCGGAAUCAACCGCGAUCUGAAUCGCUUCGAGUACGACUCCCUCAUCCGCGUUCUUGCAACGCUUCCGCAUCGCGAUCUACAAGGGUAUGUAGAUGCACUCCCCUUCCCCUCGUUGCUAGAUCACUCCAUAGAUUGAUCUUGGUGAUGCGUAGAAAAUUUUGAAUUUCUGCUACGUUCCCCAACAGAUAGGACUAGCCAUCUGCCUCUGAAUCCUCCUCUGAAGAGCUAUCUGUAACCAGCAAGAUAUCUGCUUCAGCAGGUAGCAUUGUCUGAUUUGAAGACCUUGCUUUCACUCUAGAUUUCUCCAUCACCAAUUCAAAUGGCCGAUGCACAGGAAGAGCAGUGGAAUAUACAAGCAUUGUCGACAAAUGCAAUGAGAAAUACAAAAAAAGGACGGCAUGAUAUAAUUCACAUAUAUGACGCUUGGCUAAACAACAUGGCAUUGCAUAAUCCACAUAUAUAAUACCUUGCAACAAGAUAGCAUUGCAUAAUUCACAUAUAUAAUGUCUUGCAACAAGAUGGCAUUGCAUAAUUCACAUAUAUGGUAAUUAGACACUAAACAUGUGGCAUUCACACAAAGCAUGUCUAAACUAAGCAAAUGACAUAGCAAUGCAAGAUACCAUACGCACGAUAUGAGUAACAUAACCCUGUCAAGUUAGAGCAUGCACCUCGGGGGGGGGGGAAUAGGACUGGUCAUCUGUCUCUGAAUCCUCCUCUGAGGAGCUAUCCAUAACCAGCAAGACACGCGCUUCGUCAGAUAGCAUUGUAUGCUGUGAAGACCUUGUUUCCACUCCAGAUUUUUCCAUGACCGUGCCGAAUGGCUGAUGCACAGGAAGAGUAAUUGAAUGUACUAAAAUUGUUGACAAAUUUAAUACGUAAUAAAAAAUGAUGGCAUGAUAUAAUUCACAUAUAAGAUGACUGGCUAACCAGGGUGGCAUUGCAAAAUUCACAUAUAUGAUGCCUGGCUAAACAAGAUGGCAUUGCAUGAUGCACAUAUACGAUAAAGAAACUAAACAGAUGGCAUUCACACAAAGCAUGUCUAAACUAAGCACAUGACAUAUUUGAUGUAUAAAGUAAGCAAUGCAAGGCACCAUAUGCAUGAUAUUACCAACAUUAGCAUGCCAAGUUAGAGCGAAGACCUCAGGGGGUAAAUAAGAGUGGUCUUCUCCUUCUGAAUCCCCCUCAGAACAGUUAUCUUCCUCUUGAUUACAAUCCGAAAUGGGUGGAGGGGGCUACAUUUGCGCCCACCAUGGAGCGACGUCUGCAUGAAAUUUUAUUGCCACGCAAGACUUGUCUCGUUUGCUCUACAUGUUCAGUUCCAUUGUGUACAAUAACUGACAUGCAUAGGAAUAAAACUGAAGGAAAUAUGCCCUAGAGGCAAUAAUAAAGCUAUUAUUUAUUUCCUUAUAUCAUGAUAAAUGUUUAUUAUUCAUGCUAGAAUUGUAUUAACCGGAAACAUGAUGCAUGUGUGAAUACAUAGACAAACAGUGUCACUAGUAUGCCUCUACUUGACUAGCUCGUUGAUCAAAGAUGGUUAUGUUUCCUAGCCAUAGACAUGAGUUGUCAUUUGAUUAACGGGAUCACAUCAUUAGGAGAAUGAUGUGAUUGACUUGACCCAUUCCGUUAGCUUAGCACUUGAUCGUUUAGUAUGUUGCUAUUGCUUUCUUCAUGACUUAUACAUGUUCCUAUGACUAUGAGAUUAUGCAACUCCUGUUUACCGGAGGAACACUUUGUGUGCUACCAAAUGUCACAACGUAACUGGGUGAUUAUAAAGGUGCUCUACAGGUGUCUCCGAAGGUACUUGUUGAGUUGGCGUAUUUCGGGAUUAGGAUUUGUCACUCCGAUUGUCGGAGAGGUAUCUCUGGGCCCACUCGGUAAUACACAUCACUAUAAGCCUUGCAAGCAUUGUAAGUAAUGAGUUAGUUGCAGGAUGAUGUAUUACGGAACGAGUAAAGAGACUUGCCGGUAACGAGAUUGAACUAGGUAUUGAGAUACCGACGAUCGAACCUCGGGCAAGUAACAUACCGAUGACAAAGGGAACAACGUAUGUUGUUAUGCGGUUUGACCGAUAAAGAUCUUCGUAGAAUAUGUAGGAGCCAAUAUGAGCAUCCAGGUUCCGCUAUUGGUUAUUGACCGGAGCCGUGUCUCGGUCAUGUCUACAUUGUUCUCGAACCCGUAGGGUCUGCACGCUUAAAGUUCGGUGACGAUCGGUAUUGUGAGUUUUAGUGUUUUGAUGUACCGAAGGUAGUUCGGAGUCCUGGAUGUGAUCACGGACAUGACGAGGAGUCUCAAAAUGGUCGAGACGUAAAGAUUGAUAUAUUGGACGGCUAUAUUCGGACACCAGAAGUGUUCCGGAUGGUUUCGGAGAAAACCGGCGUGCCGGAGGGGUUACCGGAACGCCCGGGGAAGUAUUGGGCCUUAGUGGGCCUGAGGGGAGAGAGAGGGCAGCAGCCCAAGAGGUGGCAUGCCCCCUCCCAUGAGGAGUCCGAAUUGGACUAGGGGAGGGGGGCGCGGCCCCUCUUUCCCUCUCCCUCUCCCUCUCUUUCCUUCCCCCCCUUCCCUCUUCCUAGUUGGACUAGGAAAGGAUGAAUCCUCUUCCUAGUAGGAAGAGGAUUCCUCCUCUCCUUGGGGCGCACCAAGGCUGGCCGGCCUCCCCCCUUGCUCCUUUAUAUACGGGGGCGGGGGGGCACCCAAAGACACACAAGUUGAUUGUUCCAAGCAUGUGCGGUGCCCCCCUCCACCAUAAUCCACCUCGAUCAUAUUGUAGCGGUGCUUAGGCGAAGCCCUGCGUCGGUAGCAUCAUCAUCACCGUCAUCACACCGUCGUGCUGACAAAACUCUCCGGCGAAGCUCUGCUGGCUCGGAGCUCGCAGGACAUCAUCGAGUUGAACGUGUGCUGAACUCGGAGGUGCCGUGCGUACGGUACUUGGAUCGGUCGGAUCGUGAAGACGUACGACUACAUCAACCGCGUUGUGCUAACGCUUCCGCUUUCGGUCUACAAGGGUACGUGGACACACUCUCCCCUCUCGUUGCUAUGCAUCACCAUGAUCCUGUGUGUGCGUAGCAUUUUUUUUGAAAUUACUACGUUCCCCAACAAAAACAUAGUGAGAUUAUGUAAGGAGUGCAUGCACAAAUCCAGAGUGAUGGUAGCAAACUGUGAAUAGACCCAAAACCAAUGAUAGCAGGCAGAUAAUAGCUUUAGUUAAAAAAUACAGAUAAUGGCUCCUUUAAUGUUUGUUUGCACCCAACAUGAAACUCAUAGUAGACACCCAAGAUUAACCAGAUAGUAGACAUAUAGUACUGAUUGCUGCCCCAAUAUGUACCCCACAACCAUUUUAAAACUCAAGUUUCAACAUUAGUUUGGACCUGACUCAGAGUCUAAUAGGUGAACACGACGAUAAAGUAGCAUGUCAUCAUAUUAAGCGAUGCAUAACGUAAGCAGACACAGAAGAGUGCGACCUCUCUUGCGGACCCGUGUAGUCCUCAAGGUCAUCUGCUCAGUUGAUGAUGGUAAUGCAGUUGUCGUGGCUGCUGGCGGUGGGGAAGAAGAUCUGAGGCGGCGAAAGACGGUCUGGAGAGCUGGGGUGGAACACGGCGCAGCAGGAGCGGGACAAACCACACAAGGUUUUCUUUGACACACAUCUGUAACAGAAGUAAUUGUGUAAGGGCUUGUUUGAAUUUGAGGAUUCUAACAAUGCAGGGAUAGGAAAUACAUAGGAAUAGGAUAGAAAUGCACAGGCAAAAUAGAGAAUUUAAAAGCACAUGAUUUCUGCCAAUCUGGGUGUUUGGUUCACAAGAAUUGGAAGAUCACAGGAUGCAAAGAAGCAUGGUGAUAUUAAGUCAAACCACAAGAAAAUGUAUGGUCAUAAUGCUAUUAUGCUACUAUAUAUUAGUCUUGUGCUUCAUGAAUUGGAAUUUGAAAAGGAGGACAAGUGGAUAUUAAAAUUCCUACGAUUUUUCUUUCAAGGAGACACUAAAGGAACAAAUCCUACAGUUUUCCUUUGCUCCAUUCCUUUGAACCAAAUGCAUGAAUAGUAGUACCAUAGGAAACUUUCCAAUUCCUAUGUUUUUCCUUCACUUUUCCUUUCAAGCACUGGCGAUUCUAGUAGGCAGGCUUGAGCAAGGAAAAGCCUACACUCAAAAAAUGUUUUUGUGCUACUUCUACUACUUUGGACCCAGGCCACUGCCCUACUAGCUCAACUCCCAGGCCCAUCGACAAAUGCACAGCUCAAACACACAGAGAUAAAUAAUGAUGGCAUUCAAGAGAGUCCAUCACGGAUAGCUAAGUUGCCUGGUACCUCACUGCUUGUCAUAUAGUUGGAGAAACUAAUCAUAUUUCACGUUACUACGUGUGCUCAAUGGACAAUAUAUAUAACAUGUAGAGUAAAACAGAGAUGCAACAAGUGUACAACCUCUUUGGCGAAGCCAUGUCGAUCUCAGCGUGAUUGGGUUGGUCGGUGAGGAUGCUCCGGCUGACUUGGUUGUUGGAGGAGGGGAAGAAGAUCUUAGGCGUCUGGAGAUGGAGCCUGGGGUACUGCUCCGCUGCGAUGGAGGGUUUCGUCGUUGGAGCAACUCCGGUGAGUUGUAUGACGCCGAGGUUGAAGCAGGACAAGAGAGACAACGUUAACCUGAGUGGAAUUCUAAUGGCAUCUUCAAUAGAUGAUAUAAAAUACAUAACCACAAAGUGCUAGAUGUAAAAUACAUCAGCCGCUCAUCUCUGAACUUAACUGUCGAAACUGAAUUUAACUGUCGAAACUAAACUUAACUGUCGAAACUGAAUUUUGCCGUCGCAAUUGAAUUUUAUUGUCGAAACUAAACGCACUAGUAGCAGCGCAUGCGAGAGCCGGGGCAGCUGGUCGUGUAGUAGCAUCAGGGUGAGGCUACACGUCAGUCGACUGGCUUUUUCGCCUCUGGUCAGUCGAUUUUCCAGCCGUUGGAUACGAAAUCAAGGACCUACAGUUCAUCUUCAAUCUCCACCCCCUGAGCCGCCAGCCACCACCGGCCAAACCGCCGCCCCCGCGGCCCGCGGCCGGUGGUGCGCCGCCCCCCCGCCCCGAAACCACUCCCCACCGCCGGUCCGCCGCCGCCCCGGCCAUCCCUCUAGGCCCUCCCGUGCUGAGAUUUUUCUCUAGCGAUCCCCACGCCACCGCCCCACCACCGCCGGUGACCACUGCCCCCACCCUGAACCCUAAGAUAGAUAGUGAGGUACCUCUCCGGCGAGCCCCCCUCCCCACUGCGGCUGGUUCUUCCUUAACUCUGGCGAGCCCCCCCUGAAAAUUGACUGACCCAAAAGUCGAUUCAGUCGACUGAAGUGUAGCUAAAUCGGAGCAGCAUCGCAAGCAAGAGCAAGAGCGAGAGCAGCAGCGCGAGCAGGAGCAAGAGCAAGAGCAAGAGCAGACUAGGCAGGGGACCGAGAGCAAGAGCAGAGCAGCAGUGCGAGCGAGAGCUAAAGCAGUAGCAGCUCCUACUGAUGUAGACAUCGCUGCCAAGGGAGAGACACCGUGGAGGAAGUGACCGGCGACGGCGCCGUGGAUGGAGCCGUGCCAUGUCGGCUCGGUACUGAGCGUCGGCAACACCGUGAGAUCGAGUCAAGAAGAAAAUGCGGUGAUUAGUGUACAACCUCUUUGGUGGCGCCGAUUAGGCCUCAGCUUCAUCCGAGGAAAUGGUGAUGAUGUUGCUCUUCCAGUGGUGCAGAGUGAAGAUGACGGUGUGGGAAUGGAGGUGGCGUGAAAGACGAGGGGAACGUCGGGGCAGCUCCUUGGAGGUGGAGGACUGGGUGGCUAACCAGCGGGACGACGAGAUCGACGACGGCUCCUCAUCCGGUACGGUGGAUGGGGGACGUCGAGGUGUUGCUGUGGAUGAUGUCAUCGGGGAAGAGGCUCCGGCUGGGUGGCGGACGGAGGAGGGUGUGGGGCUUCACGGGUUUUCACGGCCUCGGUGUACGAAUGGGUGGGCGGAUGGGAUGGGAGUAGGGAACCAUGACUUAGGGACACGCUUGUCCGAAAUGUGGGUAAGUUACGAAAGUAUCCCCACCGAUUUGAGCUAGGCGGUUCUUUCAGUUCAGGGGUAUCACGGGCAUUUCGCGUGUCGGGAUUUCGCAGGAGGUGGAAGUUUUCGAGCGCGUUGUAAUUUUGGGAUAGCAAGGCACGGGUUGAGAUGGAGGGAGUUUUUGGAGCACAACAAGACAAAGAUAUAUCUUAAAUAUUUCGGGGUAACAAGGCGCGGGUUGAAGAGGCGGGAGUUUCGCAGCACGAUAGACAGAGAUGCUAGCUUGAAAUUUCGGCAUAACAAGGCGUGGCUUGAAAUUUCGGGAGAACAAGCUUAACGUACCAAAAAAAGACAAUUCACACCUCAUCACUAGAGAGAGCCAUGUCCCGUUUUACUAUAUUACUAGAAAUGCAUUCAAAUACAACAACAAAAAAACUAAAAAAACGGGACAACAAACAUAACGUGUACAGUAACAAAACAAUUUGCACUUCCCUCAACAAUAAAAAAACAAUGUGUGUUGUCUAGCAUAUGGACUAAAUUUGAGUACAUUUUCCCUGUUUGAAUGGGAUUGUACUCGGGUUAGUUAUACAACCAUCUAAAUAUUAUCUUCACAACACAUGACAUGAAUAUAGGAGAAGUAAAUUUCUAUAUAAAUACGAACUACAUGUACAUACGAUAUCAAAUUCAAAUAUUUGUAUCCAUUUUAUGUUGAAUUCAAAUCAUAGUACAUGUAUGCUCUAGCUAGAUGUUCGAAAUCUAAACCUUGUAUGAUACUGCGUACAAUGUGUUUAACACGCACAACACACACACAAACACCAUUUAGACUAGUAAGGUACACGUGCAUUGCACGUAUGAGAUUUGGCAACCAAAUUAGAAAUAAAUACCACAUUAUAGCAUGUAAGCUUUGAGUCAUAUAUGCAUGAUGUAGAUGUUCGUUUAAUUCUUAUUGUUCAUUUCAUUUAAAAUAAUCUAGUUUUUAUAAGAAAGCUAACCUAUUUUAAGAUUCAUGGAAUUGUGCAUUGUAAAGCAUACAUUAAAUAAAUAAAUAAUGGCAAAUCAUGUAAAAAACAUUUGAGCAAUUCUAAUACGGAAGAUUCUAGAACAGAGAAGAAGUGCUUGUGUUUUGAGAUUUGUGCAUUAUGCUUAAGUUCAACAAUGGAGUCUUCUAGAUUUUACAUGUGGCAAAAUCUGGUGGAAUCUAGAUGAUAUCCAACGGCCAGUAGUGCUCGAAUUUGCCAUCUCUGCACCAUCGGAUUGGCUUCAUCCAACGACCAUCUUUCAAAGUUAAAGUUAUCCACACACUAUAUAUAAAAUAUAAAAUAUAAUAUAUAGGGGUAUAGAUAUAGAUAUGUGAUGCGAAAGCCACCCAUCAUCUCCCAUCAGAAUAGUGUGUCCAUGCACGGAUGCAAUGUGGCCAAACGAUGUCUGCCAUCGGUAUCUCAAAUUCAAAUAAGUCUGACCUUGUUCAAUGUGUAUACAGUACAACAUGCUCGUUUCCAAACCACACCGCGCAUAUCUCAGUUAUAUUCAUGUAUGCAUGGGUUUCAAACAUCAUGAUCUCUUAUUCAAAUAUUUGAAUUCAACUUUACAUUGAUUAUGACCUCACCUAGUCUUUUACACCCACAUAGUCGUCUUCUCUUUAUAAUUGUACCACUAACUUUCUCUCGCGCAUGCAUGCCACACACACUACCACUCGGCAUUAUCCAUCGCACACAUGCAAUCUUUUUCUUCAGGUCGGUCUCCCAUGCAUGCAUGCACACACACACACACACACACUCUUCAUCAUAUCGGGCAUUCUUUAUCUCUCACGUGCAUGUGCAACGAUCGAUAUUCCUCUAUGUGUGUGUGUAUAUAGCUAGGUCUUUCCCAGUUUUUCACACAAACCGAUCAAUCUAUAUAUCUAGUGAGGUCUCACCCUCUUUCCCAUGCACACAUGGAUCAAUCUAUACCUCUCUAUAUAGGAUUACAUAGCUAAUACACCCACAUUAAUUAUAUAUCCAACGUCCCCCUCUCAUCAUCCAUGCCUUCCGCUUCAUCUCUCAAACGCGCGCACAGUGGCGAAGACAGGGGGCAGCAAGGGCCCUGCCCCCCUAACAUCACUAUAUAUUGAGGCUAAUAUGAACGUGACCAUUAGUUCAAUUGUUGGUAAAAUGGUUUAAGUUGAUGAACUGGCCCUCCUCGUAAAGGAUUAGCAAUGUUUGGCCCCCUAGCUCAUUUAUUUUUCAUGGCUCCGCCACUGCGCGCAACAACGCACGUUCUCGCUCCCUCUCUUUAAAUAUCGAUCUCGCACUUGUGCACUCCUUCAUAGUCUCCCUCGACUUGGCCCCUCGCACCAUCUUCUAGCCCCCACCAGAUUUUGCCACAUGUACAAUCUAGCAGACUCCAUGGUUGAACUUAAGCAUAAUGCACAAACCUCAAAACACAAGUGCUUCUCCUUUGUUCUAGAAUCUUCCGUAUCAUAACUGCCCAAACUUUUUUCUAGUUGAAUUGCCAUUAUUUGUUUUUACUUUAUGCUUUACAACACACAAUUCCAUGAAUCAUAAAAUAGAUUAAGGGCUUCUUUGAUUCAAAGGAUUCUCAAAGGAAUUUUUGAGGAUUCUAAUCCUUAGGAAUUUUUCCUAUCUUGGUUGUUUGACUCGUAGGAUUGUAAACCAUAGGAAUUUUUUCAUAGGAUUCAUUUGCACUAGAUUUCAUAGGAAACAUUCCAUCCACUAAAACCUCUUUGAAAGAAUCCUACUUUUUUUCUAUGCACAAUCAAACACUCGUACAAUCCUAUAGGGAUUCAAGACGACAUUCCACUCUAAUCCCAUGUUUUCCUAUUCCCGCGUUUUGGAAAUCCUACGAAUCAAAGAGGCCCUAGCUUUUUUAUAAAAACUAAUUGAUUUUGAAUUAGAUGAACUAUAAGAAUUAAACGAAGGUCUACAUCAUGCAUAUAUGACUCAAAGCUUACAUGCUAUAGUGUGGUAUUUAUUCAUAAUUUGGUUGCCAAAUCUGAUGCGUGCAAUGCACAUGUACCUUACUAGUACUUCGAGUAUGUGCAAAACACGUAAAUUAGAAUUCCAAUGACACGCUACACAGUGUCUCUCUUUCAGUUCAUGAAGCCACGUGGCACAUGUGGAGGCGUUGGCGCGACCUCCUUGUGUGGGUUGAUCACAAUGACGUGCUGCUUGUUCCAGAAGAAUGUACUCGUCCUCUCUGAGGCACACUGGCAGUACAUGCAUCAAGUGAAUGAAGGAAAUAUGCCCAUAGAGGCAAUAAUAAAGUUGUUAUUUAUAUUUCCUUAUAUCAUGAUAAAUGUUUAUUAUUCAUGCUAGAAUUGUAUUAACUAGAAACUUAGUACAUGUGUGAAUACAUAGACAAAACAGAGUGUCCCUAGUAUGCCUCUACUUGACUAGCUCGUUAAUCAAAGAUGGUUAAGUUUCCUGACCAUAGACAUGUGUUGUCAUUUGAUGAACGAGAUCACAUCAUUAGGAGAAUGAUGUGAUGGACAAGACCCAUCCGUCAGCUUAGCAUAAUGAUCGUUUAGUUUUAUUGCUAUUGCUUUCUUCAUAACUUAUACAUAUUCCUCUGACUAUGAGAUUAUGCAACUCCCGAAUACCGGAGGAACACUUUGUGUGCUAUCAAAUGUCACAACGUAACUAGGUGAUUAUAAAGAUGCUCUACAGGUGUCUCUGAUGGUGUUUGUUGAGUUGGCAUAGAUCAAGAUUAGGAUUUGUCACUCCGUGUAUCGGAGAGGUAUCUCUGGGCCCUCUCGGUAAUGCACAUCACUAUAAGACUUGCAAGCAAUGUGACCAAUGAGUUAGUUGCAGGAUGAUGCAUUACGGAAUGAGUAAAGACACUUGCCGGUAACGAGAUUGAACUAGGUAUGAUGAUACCGACGAUCGAAUCUCGGGCAAGUAACAUACCGAUGACAAAGGGAAUAACGUAUGUUGUUAUGCGGUUUGACCGAUAAAGUUCUUCGUAGAAUAUGUGGGAGCCAAUAUGAGCAUCCAGGUUCCGCUAUUGUUUGUUGACCGGAGAGGUGUCUCGGUCAUGUCUACAUAGUUCUCGAACCCAUAGGGUCUGCACGCUUAACGUUUGAUGACGAUUUUAUAUUGUAUGAGUUGUGUGAUUUGAUGACCGAAGUUUUUUCGGAGUCCCGGAUGAGAUCACAGACAUGACGAGGAGUCUCAAAAUGGUCGAGACAUAAAGAUUGAUAUAUUGGACGAUGUUAUUCGGACACCGGAUGAGUUUCGAGAGGUACCGGAUAAUUAUCGGAGUGCCGGAGGGUUAUGGGAACCCCCGGGGAACUAAUGGGCCAUGAUGGGCCUUAGUGGGGAGAGAGAAGGGUUGCAAGGGAGCUGGCCGCGCCCCCCUUGGGUCCGAAUUGGACUAGGGGAAGGGGGCGGCGCCCCUUUCCUUCCCUUCUCCCUCUCCGUUCCUUCUUCCCCCUCUUCCUAAGGUGGUAUCCUACUAGGACUUGGAGUCCUAGUAGGACUCCCCUCUCCUUGCGCACCCUACAGGGCCGGCCGGCCUCCCCCUCCCCUCCUUUAUAUAUGGGGGCAGGGGGGCACCCUAGUACACACAAGUUUCUCUUAACCGUGUGCGGUGCCCCGCCUCCACAGUUACACACCUCGGUCAUAUCGUCGUAGUGCUUAGGCGAAGCCCUGUGCCGGUAACUUCAUCAUUACCGUCGCCACGCUGUCGUGCUGACGGAACUCUCCCUCAUCCUCAACUAGAUCAAGAGAUCGAGGGACGUCAUCGAGCUGAACGCGGAGGUGCUGUACAUUCGAUGCUUGGAUCGCGAAGACGUUCGACUACAUCAACCGCAUUACUAAAUGCUUUCGCUUUCGGUCUACGAGGGUACGUGGACACACUCUCCCCGCUCGUUGCUAUGCAUCCCCUAGAUAGAUCUUGCGUGAUGGUAGGUAAUAUUUUUGAAAUACUGCGUUGCCCAACAGUGGCAUCCGAGCCAGCUCUAUGCAUAGAUGUUAUAUGCACGAGUAGAACACAAAGAGUUGUGGGCGAUAAUAGUCAUACUGCUUACCAGCAACAUCUUACUUUGAUUCGGCGGUAUUGUUGGAUGAAGCGGCCCGGACCGACAUUACAUGACCGCGUUCAUGAGACUGGUUCUACCGACGUGCUUCGCACACAGGUGGCUAGCGGGUGUCUGUUUCUCCAACUUUAGUUGAAUCGAGUUUGACUACGCCCGGUCCUUGUUGAAGGUUAAAAUAGCACACUUGACGAAAAAUCGUUGUGGUUUUGAUGCGUAGGUAAGAACGGUUCUUGCUAGAAGCCCGUAGCAGCCGCGUAAAAAUUGCAACAUCAAAGUAGAGGACGUCUAACUUCCUUUUGUAGGGCAUGUUGUGAUGUGAUAUGGUCAAGACGUGAUGAUAUAUAUAUAUAUAUAUAUAUAAAUUGUUGUAUGAGAUGAUCAUGUUUUGUAAUAGUUAUCGGCAACUGGCAGGAGCCAUAUGGUUGUCGCUUUAUUGUAUGAAAUGCAAUCACCAUGUAAUUGCUUUACUUUAUCACUAAGCGGUAGCGAUAGUCGUAGAAGCAAUAGUUGGCGAGACGACAACGAUGCUACGAUGGAGAUCAAGGUGUCAAGCCGGUGACAAUGGUGAUCAUGACGGUGCUUUGGAGAUGGAGAUCAAAGGCACAAGAUGAUGAUGGCCAUAUCAUAUCACUUAUUUUGAUUGCAUGUGAUGUUUAUCCUUUAUGCAUCUUAUUUUGCUUAGUACGGCGGUAGCAUUAUAAGAUGAUCCCUCACUAAAUUUCAAGGUACAAGUGUUCUCCCUGAGUAUGCACCAUUGCUACAGUUCGUCGUGCCGAGACACCACGUGAUGAUCGGGUGUGAUAAGCUCUACGUUCACAUACAACGGGUGCAAGCCAGUUUUGCACACGUAGAAUACUCGGGUUAAACUUGACGAGCCUAGCUUAUGCAGAUAUGGCCUCGGAACACUGAGACCAAAAGGUCGAACGUGAAUCAUAUAGUAGAUAUGAUCAACAUAGUGAUGUUCACCAUUGAAAACUACUCCAUCUCACGUGAUGAUCGGACAUGGUUUAGUUGCUAUGGAUCACGUGAUCAUUUAGAUGACUAGAGGGAUGUCUACCUAAGUGGGAGUUCUUAAGUAAUAUGAUUAAUUGAACUUUAAUUUAUCAUGAACUUAGUCCUGAUAGUAUUUGCAUAUCUAUGUUGUAGAUUAGUAGCUUGCGAUGUAGCUCCCCCUUUAUUUUUGAUAUGUUCCUAGAGAAAAAUAAGUUGAAAGAUGAUAGUAGCAGAUGUGGACUGGAUCCGUGAUCUGAGGAUUAUCCUCGUUGCUGCAUGGAAGAAUUAUGUCCUUAUUGAACCGCUAGGUGACAGACCUAUUGCAGGAGCAGAUGCAGACAUUAUGAACAUUUGACAAAGCUCAGUAUGAUGACUACUUGAUAGUUUAGUGCACCAUGCUUUACGGCUUAGACCCGGGACUUUAAAAAUGUUUUGAACGCCACGGAGCAUAUGAGAUGUUCCAAGAGUUAAAAUUGGUAUUUCAAACUCAUGCCCAUGUCUAGAGGUAUGAGACCUCUGACAAGUACUUUGCCUACAAGAUGGAGGAGAAUAGCUCAGCUAGUGAGCAUGUGCUCAGAUUGUCUGGGUACUACAAUCGCUUGAAUCAAGUGGGAGUUCAUCUUCCAGAUAAGAUAGUGAUUGAUAGAGUUCUCUAGUCACUAUCACCAAGUUACUAGAACUUCGUGAUGAACUAUAAUAUGCAAGGGAUAUGACGAAAAUGAUUCCCAAGCUCUUCGCGAUGCAGAAAUCAGCGAAGGUAGAAAUUAAGAAAUAGCAUCAAGUGUUGAUGGUUAAACAAGACCACUAGUUUCAAGAAAAGGGGCAAGGGAAAGAAAGGGAACUUCAAGAAGAAUAGCAAGCAAGUUGCUGCUCCCGUGAAGAAGCCCAAAGCUAGACCCAAGCCUGGAACUGAGUGCUUCUACUGCAAAGGAAAUGGUCACUGGAAGUGGAACUACCCAAAUACUCCGCGGAUAAGAAGGAUGGAAAAGUGAACAAAAGUAUAUAUGAUAUACAUGUUAUUGAUGUGUACUUUACUAGUGUUCAUAGUAGCCCCUAGGUAUUUGAUACUGGUUCAGUUGCUAUGAUUAGUAACUUGAACAGGAGUUACAAAAUGAAUAGAGACUAGUUGAGGGCGAGGUGCGAUGUGUGUUGGAAGUGAUUGCAAGGUUGAUAAGAUCAUCAUCGCACACUCCCUUUACCUUCGGGAUUAGUGUUGAACCAAAAAUAAAUGUUAUUUGGUGUUUGCAUAAUAUGAUUGGAUCAUGUUUAUUGCAGUAUGGUUAUUCAUUUAAGUCAAAGAAUAAUUGUUAUUCUGUUUACAUGAAUAAAACCUUCUAUGGUCAUACACCCAAGGUGAAUGGUUUAUUAAAUCUCGAUCGUAGUGAUACACAUAUUCAUAAUAUUGAUGCCAAAAGAUGCAAAGUUGAUAAUGAUAGUGCAACAUACUAGUGGCACUGCCAUUUAGGUCAUAUUGGUGUAAAGCGCAUGAAGAAACUCCAUGCGGAUGGACUUUUGGAAUCACUUGAUUAUGAAUCAUUUGAUGCUUGCGAACCAUGCCUCAUGGGCAAGAUGACUAAGACUCCGUUCUCCGGAACAAUGGAGCAAGCCACUGACUUAUUGGAAAUAAUCCAUACCGAUGUAUGCGGUCCGAUGAGUGUUGAGACUCGCGGCGGGUAUCAUUAUUUUCUGACCUUCACAGAUGAUUUGAGCAUAUAUGGGUAUAUCUACUUAAUGAAACAUAAGUCUGAAACAUUUGAAAAGUUCAAAGAAUUUCAGAGUGAAGUGGAAAAUCAUCAUAACAAGAAAAUAAAGUUUCUACGAUCUGAUCGCUGAGGCGAAUAUUUGAGUUACGAGUUUGGUCUUCAUUUGAAACAAUGUGGAAUAGUUUCACAACUCACGCCACCUGGAACACCACAGCGUAAUGGUGUGUCUGAAUGUCGUAACCGUACUUUAUUAGAUAUGGUGCGAGCUAUGAUGUCUCAUACCGAUUUACCACUAUCAUUUUGGGGUUGUGCAUUAGAGACAGCUGCAUUCACGUUAAAUAGGGCACCAUCUAAAUCCAUUGAGACGACAACAUAUGAACUGUGGUUUAGAAAGAAACCUCUGUCGUUUCUUAAAGUUUGGGGCUGCAAUGCUUAUGUGAAAAAGCUUCAACCUGAUGAGCUCGAACCCAAACCGGAGAAAUGUGUCUUGCUACCUCUUGAGCACUGCGUUGGUUUUCCCUUGAAGAGGAAAGGGUGAUGCAGUAAAGUAGCGUAAGUAUUUCCCUCAGUUUUUGAGAACCAAGGUAUCAUCCAGUAGGAGACCACGCUCAAAUCCCACGCACCUACACAAACAAAUAAGAACCUUGCAACCAACGCGAUAAAGGGGUUAUCAAUCCCUUCACGGCCACUUGCAAAAGUGAGAUCUGAUAGAGAUGAUAAGAUAAUAUUUUUGGUAUUUUUAUGAUAAAGACUAAAAGUAAAGAAAGCAAAAUAAACGGUAAUGGAAAUAGCUUGUUGACGGAAGAUUAAUAUGAUGGAAAAUAGACCUGGGGCCAUAGAUUUCACUAGUGGCUUCUCUCAAGAUAGCAUAAGUAUUACUGUGGGUAAACAAAUUACUGUCGAGCAAUUGAUAGAAUGGAGCAUAGUUAUGAGAAUAUCUAGGUAUGAUCAUGUAUAUAGGCAUCACGUCCGUGACAAGUAGACCGACUCCUACCUGCAUCUACUACUAUUACUCCACACAUCGACCGCUAUCCAGCAUGCAUCUAGAGUAUCAUAAGAAUGGAGUAACGCUUUAAGCAAGAUGACAUGAUGUAGAGGGAUAAACUCAUGCAAUAUGAUAUAAACCCCAUCUUUUUAUCCUCGAUGGCAACAAUACAAUACAUGUCGUUUCCCCUACUGUCACUGGGAUCGAGCACCGCAAGAUUGAACCCAAAGCUAAGCACUUCUCCCAUUGCAAGAAAGAUCAAUCUAGUAGGCCAAACCAAACUGAUAAUUCGAAGAGACUUGCAAAGAUAACUAAUCAUACAUAAACUAAUUCAGAGGAGAUUCAAAUAUUGUUCAUAGAUGAUCUUGAUCAUAAACCCACAAUUCAUCGGAUCUCGACAAACACACCGCAAAAGAAGAGUUACAUCAAAUAGAUCUCCAAGAGAAUCGAGGAGAACUUUGUAUUGAGAUCCAAAGAGAGAGAAGAAGACAUCUAGCUAAUAACUAUGGACCCGAAGGUCUGAGGUAAACUACUCACACAUCAUCGGAGAGGCUAUGGUGUUGAUGUAGAAGCCCUCCGUGAUCGAUGCCCCCUCCAGCGGAGCGCCGGAAAAGGCCCCAAGAUGGGAUUGUUGGAAAUAUGCCCUAGAGGCAAUAAUAAAAUGGUUAUUAUUAUAUUUCCUUGUCCAUGAUAAUUGUCUAUUGUUCAUGCUAUAAUUGUGUUAUCCGGAAAUCGUAAUACAUGUGUGAACACAUAGACCAUAACAUGUCCCUAGUGAGCUUCUAGUUGACUAGCUCGUUGAUCAAUAGAUGGUUACGGUUUCCUGACCAUGGACAUUGGGUGUCAUUAAUAACGGGAUCACAUCAUUAGGAGAAUGAUGUGAUAGACAAGACCCAAUCCUAAGCAUGUCACUAGAUCGUGUAGUUCGUUUGCUAAAGCUUUUCUAAUGUCAAGUAUCAUCUCCUUAGACCAUGAGAUCGUGCAACUCCCGGAUACCGUAGGAAUACUUUGGGUGUACCAAAUGUCACAACGUAACUGGGUGGCUAUAAAGGUGCACUACAGGUAUCUCCGAAAGUGUCUGUUGGGUUGGCACGGAUCGAGACUGGGAUUUGUCACUCCGUAUGACGGAGAGGUAUCUCUGGGCCCACUCGGCAAUGCAUCAUCAUAAUGAGCUCAAUGUGACUAAGUAGUUAGUCACGGGAUCAUGCAUUACGGAACGAGUAAAGAGACUUGCCGUAACGAGAUUGAACAAGGAAUCGGUAUACCGACGAUCGAAUCUCGGGCAAGUAUCGUACCGAUAGACAAAGGGAAUUGUAUACGGGAUUGAUUGAAUCCUCGACAUCGUGGUUCAUCCGAUGAGAUUAUCAUGGAGCAUGUGGGAGCCAACAUGGGUAUCCAGAUACCGCUGUUGGUUAUUGGCCGGAGAGUUGUCUCGGUCUUGUCUACGUGUCUCCCGAACCCGUAGGGUCUACACACUUAAGGUUCGGUGACGCUAGAGUUAUAGAGAUAUUAGUAUGCGGUUAACCGAAAGUUGUUCGGAGUCCUGGAUGAGAUCUCGGACGUCACGAGGAGUUCCGGAAUGGUCCGGAGGUAAAGAUUUAUAUAUAGGAAGUCCAGUUUCGGCCACCGGGAGAGUUUUGGGGGUCACCGGUAUUGUACGGGGACCACCGGAAGGGUCCCGGGGGUCCACCGGGUGGGGCCACCUAUCCCGGAGGGCCCCAUGGGCUGAAGUGGCGUGGGAACCAGCCCCUGGUGCGCUGGUGCGCCCCACCCAAGGGCCCAAGGCGCCUAGGGUUGGAAACCCUAGGGGGCCGUUGCCCCCCGAGGGGGCAUGCGCCCCCGUGGUUGGAAACCCUAAGGGGGCCGUUGCCCACCGAGGGGCCGCCACCCCCCUUCUAGAUGGGAUCUCCAAGGGGGGCAUGCGCCCCCUAGCCCCUAUAUAUAGUGGAGGGGAGGGAGGGCAGCCGCACCCUAAGCCCUGGCGCCUCCCUCUCCCUCCCGUGACACCUCUUCCUCCUCCAGUAGCGCUUGGCGAAGCCCUGCUGGAAUCCCGCUGCUUCCACCACCACGCCGUCGUGCUGCUGGAUCUCCAUCAACUUCUCCUUUCCCCUUGCUGGAUCAAGAAGGAGGAGAUGUCUCCGCUUCGUACGUGCAUUGAACGCGGAGGUGCCGUCCGUUCGGCGCUAGGAUCGUCGGUGAUUUGGAUCACGACGAGUACGACUCCAUCAACCCCGUUCUCUUGAACGCUUCCGCUUGCGAUCUACAAGGGUAUGUAGAUGCACUCCUCUCUCUCCCGUUGCUAGAUGACUCCAUAUAUUGAUCUUGGUGAUGCGUAGAAAAUUUUAAAUUUCUGUGAUGAUCCCCAACAGUGGCAUCAUGAGCUAGGUCUAUGCGUAGUUUCUAUGCACGAGUAGAACACAAGUUGUUGUGGGCGUCGAUUUUGUCAAUUUACUUGCCGUUACUAGUCUUAUCUUGAUUCGGCGGCAUCGUGGGAUGAAGCGGCCCAGACCGACCUUACACGUACGCUUCCGUGAGACAGGUUCCACCGACUGACAUGCACUAGUUGCAUAAGGUGGCUAGCGGGUGUCUGUCUCUCCCACUUUAGUCGGAUCGGAUUCGAUGAAAAGGGUCCUUAUGAAGGGUAAAUAUAAAUUGGCAUAUCACGUUGUGGUUUUGGCGUAGGUAAGAAACAUUCUUGCUAGAAACCUAUAGCAGCCACAUAAAAAAAUUUGCAAUAACAAUUAGAUGACGUCUAACUUGUUUUUGCAGCAAGUUUCAUGUGAUGUGAUAUGGCCAGAAGGAUGUGAUGAAUGAUAUAUGUGAUGUAUGAGAUUGAUCAUGUUCUUGUAAUAGGAAUCACGACUUGCAUGUCGAUGAGUAUGACAACCGGCAGGAGCCAUAGGAGUUGUCUUAAUUUAUUUAUGACCUGCGUGUCAACUGGAACGUCAUGUAAUUACUUUACUUUAUUGCUAACCAUUAUCUACAGUAGUAGAAUUAAUAGUUGGCGAGACAAAUUCAUGAAGACACGAUGAUGGAGAUCAUGGUGUCAUGCCGGUGACGAUGAUGAUCAUGGCGCCCCGAAGAUGAAGAUCAAAAGGAGCAAAAUGAUAUUGGCCAUAUCAUGUCACUAUAUGAUUGCAUGUGAUGUUUAUCAUGUUUUACAUCUUAUUUGCUUAGAACGACGGUAGCCUAAAUAAGAUGAUCUCUCACUAAAAUUUCAAGAAUUGUGUUCCCCCUAACUGUGCACCGUUGCUAAAGUCCGUUGUUCCGAAGCACCACGUGAUGAUCGGGUGUGAUAGGUCCUAACGUUCGCAUACAACGGGUGUAAGCCAGAUUUACACACGCAAUACACUUAGGUUGACUUGACGAGCCUAGCAUGUACAGACAUGGCCUCGGAACACGGAAGACCGAAAGGUCGAACAUGAGUCGUAUAGAAGAUACGAUCAACAUGAAGAUGUUCACCGAUGAUGACUAGUCCGUCUCACGUGAUGAUCGGACACGGCCUAGUUGACUCGGAUCAUGUACCACUUAGAUGACUAGAGGGAUGUCUGUCUAAGUGGGAGUUCAUUAAUAAUUUGAUUAGAUGAACUUAAUUAUCAUGAACUUAGUCUAAAAUCUUUACAAUAUGUCUUGUAGAUCAAAUGGCCCACGCUAAUGUGAACCUCAACUUCAACGCGUUCCUAGAGAAAACCAAGCUGAAAGACGAUGGUAGCAACUAUACGGACUGGGUCCGGAACUUGAGGAUCAUCCUCAUAGCUGCCAAGAAAGCAUAUGUCCUUGAAGCACCGCUAGGUGAAGCACCCGUCCCAGCAAACCAAGACGUUAUGAACGCUUGGCAAACACGUGUUGAUGAUUACUCCCUGGUUCAGUGCGGCACGCUUUACAGCUUAGAACCGGGGCUCCAAAAGCGUUUCGAGCAGCACGGAGCAUAUGAGAUGUUCCAAGAGCUGAAAAUGGUUUUCCAUGCUCAUGCCCGGGUCGAGAGAUAUGAAGUCUCCGACAGGUUCUACAGUUGUAAGAUGGAGGAGAAUAGUUCCGUCAGCGAACACAUACUCAAAAUGUCUGGGUUGCACAACCGCUUGUCUCAGCUGGGAGUUAAUCUCCCGGAUGACGCGGUCGUUGACAGAAUCCUUCAGUCGCUCCCACCUAGCUACAAGAGCUUUGUGAUGAACUUCAAUAUGCAGGGAAUGGAAAAGACCAUUCCUGAGGUAUAUUCAAACUGAAAUCAGCGGAGGUGGAUAUCAAAAAGGAACAUCAAGUGUUGAUGGUGAAUAAAACCACUAAGUUCAAGAAAGGCAAGGGUAAGAAGAACUUCAAGAAAGACGGCAAGGGAGUUUCCGCGCCGGGUAAGCAAGCUGCCGGGAAGAAGACAAAGAAUGGACCCAAGCCUGAGACUGAGUGCUUUUAUUGCAAGGGAAACAGUCAUUGGAAGCGGAACUGCCCCAAGUACUUAGCGGAUAAGAAGGCCGGCAAUACCAAAGGUAUAUGUGAUAUACAUGUUAUUGAUGUGUACCUAACCAGCGCUCGUAGUAGCUCCUGGGUAUUUGAUACCGGUGCGGUUGCUCAUAUUUGUAACUCAAAGCAGGAGCUACGGAAUAAGCAGAGACUGGCGAAGGACGAGGUGACGAUGCGCGUCGGGAAUGGUUCCAAGGUCGAUGUGAUCGCCGUCGGCAUGCUGCCUCUACAUUUACCUACAGGAUUAGUUUUAAACCUCAAUAAUUGUUAUUUAGUGCCAGCUUUGAGCAUGAACAUUGUAUCUGGAUCUCGUUUGAUGCGAGAUGGCUACUCAUUUAAAUCCGAGAAUAAUGGUUGUUCUAUUUAUAUGAGAGAUAUGUUUUAUGGUCAUGCCCCGCUGGUCAAUGGUUUAUUCUUAAUGAAUCUCGAACGUAAUGUUACAUAUAUUCAUAGUUUGAAUGCCAAGAAAUGUAAGGUUGAUAAUGAUAGUCCCACAUACUUGUGGCACUGCCGCCUUGGUCACAUUGGUGUCAAACGCAUGAAGAAACUCCAUGCAGAUGGAGUUUUGGAGUCUCUUGAUUAUGAAUCAUUUGACACGUGCGAACCAUGCCCCAUAGGAAAAAUGACCAAGACUCCGUUCUCCGGAACAAUGGAGCGAGCAACCAACUUAUUGGAAAUCAUACAUACUGAUGUGUGUCGUCCAAUGAGCGUUGAGGCUCGCGGUGGCUAUCAUUAUGUUCUCACCCUCACUGAUGACUUGAGUAGAUAUGGGUAUGUCUACUUAAUGAAACACAAGUCUGAGACCUUUGAAAAGGUCAAGGAAUUUCAGAGUGAGGUUCAAAAUCAACGUGACAGGAAAAUAAAGUUCUUACGAUCAGAUCAUGGAGGGGAAUAUUUGAGUCACGAAUUUGGCACACACUUAAGGAAAUGUGGAAUUGUUUCACAACUCACGCCGCCUGGAACACCUCAGCGUAAUGGUGUGUCCGAACGUCGUAAUCGCACUCUAUUGGAUAUGGUGCGAUCUAUGAUGUCUCUUACCGAUCUACCGCUAUCAUUUUGGGGUCAUGCUUUAGAGACUGCCGCAUUCACUUUAAAUAGGGCUCCGUCGAAAUCCGUUGAGACAACACCGUAUGAAUUAUGGUUUGGAAAGAAACCUAAGCUGUCGUUUCUGAAAGUUUGGGGAUGUGAUGCUUAUGUCAAGAAACUUCAACCUGAAAAGCUCGAACCCAAGUCGGAAAAAUGCGUCUUCAUAGGAUACCCUAAGGAAACCAUUGGGUAUACCUUCUACCUCAGAUCCGAAGGCAAGAUCUUCGUUGCCAAGAACGGGUCCUUUCUGGAGAAAGAGUUUCUCUCGAAAGAAGUAAGUGGGAGGAACGUGGAACUUCAUGAGAUGACCCCUCUCGAACCAGAAAGUAGCGCGGCACAAGAAAAUGUUUCUGUGGUGCCUGCACCGACUAGAGAGGAAGUUAAUGAUGACGAUCAUGAUCAAGUUACCACUGAACUUUGUAGGUCCACAAGGACACGUUCCGCACCAGAGUGGUACAACAACCCUGUCCUGGAAAUCAUGUUGUUGGACAACGGUGAACCUUCGAACUAUGAAGAAGCAAUGGCGGGUCCAGAUUCCAACAGAUGGCUUGAAGCCAUGCAAUCCGAGAUAGGAUCCAUGUAUGAAAACAAAGUAUGGACUUUGACAGACUUGCCCGAUGAUCGGCGAGUGAUAGAAAAUAAAUGGAUCUUUAAGAAGAAGACGGACGCGGAUGGAAAUGUUACCAUCUAUAAAGCUCGACUCGUCGCUAAGGGUUAUCGACAAGUUCAAGGAGUUGACUACGAUGAGACCUUCUCACCCGUAGUGAAGCUGAAGUCCGUCCGAAUCAUGUUAGCAAUUGCCGCAUUCUACGAUUAUGAAAUAUGGCAAAUGGACGUCAAAACAGCAUUCCUUAACGGCUUCCUUAAGGAAGAAUUGUAUAUGAUGCAGCCGGAAGGUUUUGUCGAUCCUAAGAAUGCUGACAAGGUAUGCAAGCUCCAGCGCUCAAUCUAUGGGCUGGUGCAGGCAUCUCGGAGUUGGAACAUUCACUUUGAUGAGAUGAUCAAAGUGUUUGGGUUUACACAGACUUAUGGAGAAGCCUGUGUUUACAAGAAAGUGAGUGGGAGCUCUGUAGCAUUUCUCAUAUUAUAUGUGGAUGACAUACUAUUGAUGGGAAAUGAUAUAGAUUUCUUGGAAAGCAUAAAGGCCUACUUGAAUAAGUGUUUUUCAAUGAAUGACCUUGGAGAAGCUGCUUACAUAUUAGGCAUCAAGAUCUAUAGAGAUAGAUCGAGACGCCUCAUAGGUCUUUCACAAAGCACAUACCUUGACAAGAUAUUGAAGAAGUUCAAUAUGGAUCAGUCCAAGAAGGGGUUCUUGCCUGUAUUGCAAGGCGUGAAAUUGAGCACGGCUCAAUGCCCGACCACGACAGAAGAUAGAGAAAAGAUGAGUGUCGUCCCCUAUGUCUCGGCCAUAGGGUCUAUUAUGUAUGCCAUGCUGUGUACCAGACCUGAUGUAAGCCUUGCCGUAAGUUUGGUAGGAAGGUACCAAAGUAAUCCCGGCAUGGAACACUGGACAGCGGUCAAGAACAUCCUGAAGUACCUGAAAAGGACUAAGGAUAUGUUUCUCAUUUAUGGAGGUGAUGAAGAGCUCGUCGUAAAGGGUUACGUCGAUGCUAGCUUCAACACAGAUCUGGAUGACUCUAAGUCACAAACCGGAUACAUGUAUAUUUUGAAUGGUGGGGCAGUCAGCUGGUGCAGUUGCAAGCAAAGCGUCAUGGCGGGAUAUAUAUGUGAAGCGGAGUACAUGGCAGCCUCGGAGGCAGCACAUGAAGCAAUCUGGAUGAAGGUGUUCAUUGCCGACCUAGGAGUUAUUCCCAAUGCAUCGGGGCCGAUGACUCUCUUCUGUGACAACACUGGAGCUAUUGCCCUUGCCAAGGAGCCCAGGUUUCACAAGAAGACCAGGCACAUCAAGCGCCGCUUCAAUUCCAUUCAUGAAAAUGUUCAAAAUGGAGACAUAGAUAUUUGUAAAGUGCAUAUGGAUUUGAAUGUCGCAGAUCCGUUGACUAAACCUCUUCCACGGGCGAAACAUGAUCAACACCAGAACUCUAUGGGUGUACGAUUCAUCACAAUGUAACUAGAUUAUUGACUCUAGUGCAAGUGGGAGACUGUUGGAAAUAUGCCCUAGAGGCAAUAAUAAAAUGGUUAUUAUUAUAUUUCCUUGUUCAUGAUAAUUGUCUAUUGUUCAUGCUAUAAUUGUGUUAUCCGGAAAUCGUAAUACAUGUGUGAACACAUAGACCAUAACAUGUCCCUAGUGAGCCUCUAGUUGACUAGCUCGUUGAUCAAUAGAUGGUUACGGUUUCCUGACCAUGGACAUUGGAUGUCAUUGAUAACGGGAUCACAUCAUUAGGAGAAUGAUGUGAUGGACAAGACCCAAUCCUAAGCAUGGCACUAGAUCGUGUAGUUCGUUUGCUAAAGCUUUUCUAAUGUCAAGUAUCAUCUCCUUAGACCAUGAGAUCGUGCAACUCCCGGAUACCAUAGGAAUACUUUGGGUGUACCAAACGUCACAACGUAACUGGGUGGCUAUAAAGGUGCACUACAGGUAUCUCCGAAAGUGUCUGUUGGGUUGGCACGGAUCGAGACUGGGAUUUGUCACUCCGUAUGACGGAGAGGUAUCUCUGGGCCCACUCGGUAAUGCAUCAUCAUAAUGAGCUCAAUGUGACUAAGUAGUUAGUCACGGGAUCACGCAUUACGGAAUGAGUAAAGAGACUUGCCGUAAUGAGAUUGAACAAGGUAUCGGUAUACCGACGAUCGAAUCUCAGGCAAGUAACAUACCGUUAGACAAAGGGAAUUGCAUACGGGAUUGAUUGAAUCCCCGACAUCGUGGUUCGUCCGAUGAGAUCAUCGUGGAACAUGUGGGAGCCAACAUGGGUAUCCAGAUCCCGCUGUUGGUUAUUGGCCGGAGAGUUGUCUCGGUCUUGUCUACGUGUCUCCCGAACCCGUAGGGUCUACACACUUAAGGUUCGGUGACGCUAGAGUUAUAGAGAUAUUAGUAUGCGGUUAACCAAAAGUUGUUCGGAGUCCUGGAUGAGAUCUCGGACGUCACGAGGAGUUCCGGAAUGGUCCGGAGGUGAAGAUUUAUAUAUAGGAAGUCCAGUUUCGGCCACCGGGAGAGUUUUGGGGGUCACCGGUAUUGUACGGGGACCACCGGAAGGGUCCCGGGGGUCCACCGGGUGGGGCCACCUAUCCCGGAGGGACCCAUGGGCUGAAGUGGCGUGGCAACCAGCCCCUGGUGCGCUGGUGCGCCCCACCCAAGGGCCCAAGGCGCCUAGGGUUGGGAACCCUAGGGGGCCGUUGCCCCCCGAGGGGGCAUGCGCCCCCUGGUUGGAAACCCUAAGGGGGCCGUUGCCCACCGAGGGGCCGCCGCCCCGGGGGCCGCCGCCCCCUUCUAGAUGGGAUCUCCAAGGGGGGCAUGCGCCCCCUAGCCCCUAUAUAUAGUGGAGGGGAGGGAGGGCAGCCGCACCCUAAGCCCUGGCGCCUCCCUCUCCCUCCCGUGACACCUCUUCUUCCUCCAGUAGCGCUUGGCGAAGCCCUGCUGGAAUCCCGCUGCUUCCACCACCACGCCGUCGUGCUGCUGGAUCUCCAUCAACUUCUCCUUUCCCCUUGCUGGAUCAAGAAGGAGGAGACGUCUCCGCUCCGUACGUGUGUUGAACGCGGAGGUGCCGUCCGUUCGGCGCUAGGAUCAUCAGUGAUUUGGAUCACGACGAGUACGACUCCAUCAACCCCAUUCUCUUGAACGCUUCCGCUCGCGAUCUACCAGGGUAUGUAGAUGCACUCCUCUCUAUCUCUCGUUGCUAGAUGACUCCAUAGAUUGAUCUUGGUGAUGCGUAGAAAAUUUUAAAUUUCUGUUACGAUCCCCAACAGGGAUCUCACGGGUACAGAAGGUUGCGGCGGUGGAAAUAGGGUUUUGGCUAUGUAUAUGAUGUUUCCAGGGUAUAUGAGUAUAUAUAGGCGAAGGAGGUCGGUCAGGAGAGCUACGAGGGGCCCACGAGGGUGGAGGGCGCGCCCAGGGGGGUAGGCACGCCCCCUGCCUCGUGGCCUCCUCGUUGAUUGCUUGACGUUCACUCCAAGUCCUCUGGAUCACGUUUGUUCCAAAAAUCAUGUUCCCGAAGGUUUCAUUCCGUUUGGACUCCGUUUGAUAUCCUUUUCCUUCGAAACACUGAAAUAGGCAAAAAACAGUAAAUUGGGCCGGGACUCCGGUUAAUAGGUUAGUCCCAAAAAUAAUAUAAAAGUGUAUAAUAAAGCCCAUUAAACAUCCAAAAUAGAAUACAAUAUAGCAUGGAACAAUCAAAAAUUAUAGAUACAUUGGAGACGUAUCAUGUCUUCAUAGCAUACCCAGAAGAGACUGUUGGGUACACCUUCUAUCACAGAUCCGAAGGCAAGAUAUUCGUUGCUAAGAAUGGAUCCUUUCUAGAGAAGGAGUUUCUCUCGAAAGAAGUGAGUGGGAGGAAAGUAGAACUUGAUGAAGUAACUGUACCUUCUCCGUUAUUGGAAAGUAGUUCAUCACAAAAAUCAGUCCCAGUGAUUCCUACACCAAUCAGUGAGGAAGUUAAUGAUGAUGAUCAUGAAACUUCUGAUCAAGUUACUACCGAACCUCGUAGGUCAAUCAGAGUAUGAUCCGCACCAGAGUGGUACGGUAAUCCUGUUCUGAAGGUCAUGUUACUUGACCAUGAUGAACCUACGAACUAUGAGGAAGUGAUGAUGAGCCCAGGUUCCGCGAAAUGGCUUGAGGCCAUGAAAUCUGAGAUGGGAUUCAUGUAUGAGAACAAAGUAUGGACUUUGAUUGACUUGCCCGAUGAUCGGCGAGCCAUUGAGAUUAAAUGGAUCUUCAAGAGGAAGACGGACAAUGAUAGUAGUGUUACUAUCUACAAAGCUUGAAUUGUCGCAAAAAGGUUUUCGACAAGUUCAAGGUGUUGACUAUGAUGAGAGUUUCUCACUCGUAUCUAUGCUUAAGGUCUGUCCGAUCAUGUUAGCAAUUGCCGCAUUUUAUGAAAUUUGGCAACUGUAUGUCAAAGCUGCAUUGCUUAAUAGAUUUCUUAAACAAGAGUUGUAUAUGAUGCAACUAGAAGGUUUUUUCAAUCCGAAAGGUGCUAACAAAAUGUGUAAACUCCAUUGAUCCAUUUAUGGACUAGUGCAAGCAUCUCGGAGUUGGAAUGUACGCUUUGAUAGUGUGAUCAAAGCAUAUGGUUUUGUACAGACUUUUGUAGAAGCCUGUAUUUACAAGAAAGUGAGUGGGAGCUCUGUUGCAUUUCUGAUAUUAUAUGUGGAUGACAUAUUGUUGAUUGGAAAUAAUACAGAAUUUCUGAAUAGCAUAAAAGGAUACUUGAAUAAGAAUUUUUUAAUGAAAGACCUCAGUGAAGCUACUUACAUAUUGGGCAUCAAGAUCUAUAAAGAUAGAUCAAGAUGCUUGAUAAGACUUUCGAUGAGUACAUACCUUGAUAAGAUUUUGAAGGAGUUCAAAAUGGAUCAGUCAAGGAAGGAGUUCUUGCCUGAGUUGUAAGGUGUGAAGUUGAGUAAAGACUCAAAACCCGACCACGGCAGAAAAUAGAAAGAGAAUGAAAAGUCAUUCCGUAUGCCUCAGUCAUAGGUUCUAUAAAGUAUGCUAUGUUGUGUACCAGACCUAUUGUGUACCUCACCAUGAGUUUGGCAAGAGGGUACAAUAGUGAUCCAUGAGUGGAUCACUGGACAACGGUAAAAAAUAUCCUUAGUGGAAUAAGGACAUGUUUCUCGGUUAUGGAGAUGACAAAAAGUUCGUCGUAAAGGGUUACGUCGAUGCAAGCUUUGACACUGAUCCAGAUGACUCUAAGUCUCAAUCUGGAUACAUAUUGAAAGUGGGAGCAAUUAUUUAGAGUAGCUUUGUGCAGAGCAUUGUAGACAUAGAAAAAUUUCAAAAUACAUAUGGCUCUGAAUGUGGCAGACCUGUUGACUAAACUUCUCUCACAAAGCAAAACAUGAUCACUCUUUGGGUGUUAAUCACAUAGCGAUGUGAACUAGAAUAUUGACUCUAGUAAACCCUUUGGGUAUUAGUCACAUGGAGAUGUGAACUAAUCACAUAAAUAUGUCAACUAUUGGUGUUAAAUCACAUGACGAUGUGAACUACUCCCUCCGUCCCAUAAUGUAAGACAUUUUUUGACACUACACUAGUGUUAAAAAACGUCUUACAUUAUGGGACGGGGGGAGUAGAUUAUUGACUCUAGUGCAAGUGGGAGACUGAAGGAAAUAUGCCCUAGAGGCAAUAAUAAAGUUGUUAUUUAUAUUUCCUUAUAUCAUGAUAAAUGUUUAUUAUUCAUGCUAGAAUUGUAUUAACCGGAAACUUAGUACAUGUGUGAAUACAUAGACAAAACAGAGUGUCCCUAGUAUGCCUCUACUUGACUAGCUCGUUAAUAAAGAUGGUUAAGUUUCCUGACCAUAGAGAUGUGUUGUCAUUUGAUGAACGGGAUCACAUCAUUAGGAGAAUGAUGUGAUGGACAAGACCCAUCCGUUAGCUUAGCAUAAUGAUCGUUUAGUUUUAUUACUAUUACUUUCUUCAUAACUUAUACAUAUUCCUCCGACUAUGAGAUUAUGCAACUCCCGAAUACCGAGGAACACUUUGUGUGCUAUCAAAUGUCACAACGUAACUGGGUGAUUAUAAAUAUGCUCUACAGGUGUCUCCGAUGGUGUUUGUUGAUUUGGCAUAGAUCGAGAUUAGGAUUUGUCACUCCGUGUAUCAGAGAGGUAUCUCUGGGCCCUCUCGGUAAUGCACAUCACUAUAAGCCUUGCAAGCAAUGUGACUAAUGAGUUAGUUGCGGGAUGAUGCAUUACUAAACGAGUAAAUAGACUUGCCGGUAACGAGAUUGAACUAGGUAUGAUGAUAUCGACGAUCGAAUCUCGGGCAAGUAACAUACCGAUGAGAAAGGGAAUAACGUAUGUUGUUAUGUGGUUUGACCGAUAAAGAUCUUCAUAGAAUAUGUGGGAGCCAAUAUGAGCAUCCAGGUUCCGCUAUUGAUUAUUGACCUGAGAGGUGUCUCGGUCAUGUCUACAUAGUUCUCGAACCCGUAGGGUCCGCAUGCUUAACGUUCGAUGAUGAUUUUAUAUUGUAUGAGUUGUGUGAUUUGAUGAUGAAGGUUGUUCGGAGUCCCGAAUGAGAUCACAGACAUAACGAGGAGUCUUGAAAUGGUCGAGACAUAAAGAUUGAUAUAUUGGACGAUGUUAUUCAGACACCGGAUGAGUUCCGAGAGGUACCGGAUAAUUAUCGGAGUGCCGGAGGGUUAUCGGAACCCCCGGGGAACUAAUGGGCCAUGAUGGGCCUUAGUGGGGAGAGAGAAGGGCCGCAAGGGGGCUGGCCCCCCCUUGGGUCUGAAUUGGAAUAGGGGAAGGGGGUGGCACCCCCCUUUCCUUCCCUUCUCCCUCUCCCUUCCUUCUUCCCCCUCUUCCUAAGGUGGAAUCCUACUAGGACUUGGAGUCCUAGUAGGACUCCCCUCUCUUGGCGCGCCCUACAGGGCCGGCCGGCCUCCCCCUCCCCUCCUUUAUAUGCGGGGGCAGGGGGGCACUCUAGUACACACAAGUUUCUCUUAACCGUGUGCGGUGCCCCCCUCCACAGUUACACACCUCGGUCAUUUCAUCGUAGUGCUUAGGCGAAGCCCUGCGCCAGUAACUUCAUCGUCACCGUCACCACACCGUCGUGCUGACGGAACUCUCCCUCGUCCUCAAAUGGAUCAAAAGAUUGAGGGACGUCAUCGAGCUGAACGUGUGCUGAACGCGGAUGUGCCGUAUGUUCGGUGCUUGGAUCGGUUGGAUCGCAAAGACGUUCGACUACAUCAACCGCGUUACUAAACACUUCCGCUUUCGGUCUAUGAGGGUACAUGGACACACUCUGCCCGCUCGUUGCUAUGCAUCCCCUAGAUAGAUCUUGCAUGAUCGUAGGUAUUUUUUUUGAAAUACUGCGUUCCCCAGCAACGAAGAUGUGCACACACGCCAUGCACGCACUCAUUCCCUCACACGCACAUGCGGGUACACAGGGGGACGCAUUUUUGUAUGAAUAUCCACCCCAUGUGAUAAUUUGACGCGUGUAAAGUCCUUCACUUCAUUGAUGGUCAAUUAAUAGAGCACAUGCAAAUUGAGUGGACGUGAGGGAGGAAGUAGUUGAGAAAGACAUUACUACUUCACUGCAUGCAUGCGAGUAGCUAAAUCAUGGGUUGCUACUUCCAUUGGUCUCCUUCGUAUUUUGUGCCAAUUUUUGACCAUAUUUUUAAGUAACAUAAUAUUUAUGCAUGUCAUAAAAAGUGGCACAAAAAAGGGGGCCAAUAAACCAGGACGCAUGCAGCAUGAUCAAUUUUUGCCAGGGCUAUUGUUGGUGGCCUUUGUAUUUAAAUAUGGACGGAGUGGAGUAGUACUAUCUUUAUCUUAGCCUCGUAGGGCUCUCCCAGUGCCUAGGCUCACCUCCCCGCCUCGCCCACCGUAUCCCGCCAUGGAGGAUCCCUUAGAUCCCAGGAUCCCGCGGGCUGCCCUCUCGCUGCGGCCGGCACCACUGCCGCCUUUGAGCGAAACCCACAUUUGUUUUAGAGGGGAUCCAUUGCUCUGGAAUCACAGUCGGUGGCGCCGGAGGACAUGCCAAGGCCGCGUUUCAGGUGGUGGGCAGCAAGGGAAAAUCGGAUCGAGGAAGCGUCACAUCGAUUGGAAAGAAGUUCCAAGGAGCUGCGCCUGGCAACACAAGGCGGAGGCGCAAGUCGAUCUCAGGGGAGAGAUGCUGAGGGAUGUCAGCAUCUGGCAUCGUCGUGUUGAUUUCGAGCUAGGGCUAAUGGUAGAGAUCAUAUUCAUGGAGUCAACUACGGAGGAAAGAACGCGCAUGCCUGCGGAAUGGCAUGAACAGCCGGUGCAGCUGUUCAAAUGGGCGGUAGGAGAAGCCAAAUUGCGGGACAAGCUGCGGCGGUACCGCUGGGCAUGCAUCAUAGGCGAGGUGAUCUGCCCUCCUUCCCCGCUGGCGAUGCAGUGACCUACUCGAUUGCUGCUGCAGUGAACUUGCGGCGCCAUGGCGGUUUGCAACCGUGACAAUCACUCCAUCUAUAUGUAUUGUAUUCCUGUGAAAAUACUUGGUCGUUUGGAAAAAGAUGGUAAUUGACACAACCAGAAGUCUCCAUCGUGUAAUACUUAGGGUCGGUCGCACCAAUAGACGGUCGGUCGGACCCGCGACACACAUCGGAUUGGUCUGACAUGUACGACCAGUUAUACAUCACUGACUUGUGCGACCGUAUUUGACCAGUAGUACUUGAAAUUUGUGUUCCAGGAAACUCAUCGGGAGCCGCUUCGGGCCUCAAAACCAAAACCAUCAAUUAAUCUUUAGCUUAUUCCCAUCACAUUCCAAAGUGUACAGUAUAAUUAAGUGCAAACCUGCUCACACCCUAGUAUGUAUCAAACCUGAACGUGUUCCCACUUCCCACUAUGCAGGUUUUAGUACUAGUGCUAGUACUAGGUUAUAAAAAGGGGAACUAGUAACUAGCCAAAAAUCACUCUACCUCUUCCUCCUCAUAAGUCUUUCUUGUUCAUCCGUCCUUGCCAUGGCCGGUGUGUAGAGCUCUAGGUCGAGAACUACUCGUAACAAGGGAGUGGCAACCAAGGCCACGGAAAAAAAGAGAGGGCUCGCCGCCUCGCAGAGAGCUCGAAAGAUCUCUCACGGGCAGGCGAGGGCUCCCAAGAGCGCCCUAGCCACAGAGGCGAGGGCUCCAAGGAUAGCCCUAGCCACGGAGGCGAGUGCUCCCAGGAGCGCCCUAGCCGCAGAGGCGAGGGCUCCCAGGAGCGCCCUAGCCGCGGAGGCGAACAUGCCGAGCUGGCGGCGCUGGAGUCGUUAUCCCUUGAUGACAUGCCCGAUCAGCUCAAUAUGCAGGAGGAGUUCAUCGACGGCUUGGUGGAGCUGCUGAAGGAGAGCCUCGACGACAUGCCCGCUGAGCUCAAUGAGCAGGGGGAGUUGACCGCCGGCUUGGUGAUGCUGCUAAAGAAGAGCAUUGCCUCGGAUAAGAAGGCGACCGGCAAAAUCCUGCAACUUCAGGAGGACAAGGCGAAGCUCUGCCACGAGCUCGACCUGCUGAAGGAGGAGGACGCCGGCUGGAAGACGCUGCAUGAGAAGAGUAGUUCCUCGAUGAAGAUGCUGCAUGCCCUCGUCAUGGAACAAAAGGAGGAGUUGUCGAAGCGCCGCAUUGAGCACCCGGCUGCUGUCAAGGUACGUAAUGCGGCUAUGAAACAGAUGAUGAAGGCUCGCGUCGAGAAAUCCCGCGUCAUGGACAGAAUGAUGAAGAUGGCGGAGGAGAUGCGCAAGGAGAUGGAGGGCGUGGAGGCGAUGAAGAAGCACUUACGACUCCGCGGCCAGCAACCCUUCAUGUUAGUAGAGAGCAGUGCCCCAGACUUGUGUGCGCGUCUUCCUUCCUUUUUUGGGGCGAUAAUCUUCCUUCUUCUUUUGCUCCCGUGUUUCUUCUUUUGCUUCGGUGUUUCGCCGCACGUGUCACAUUCUCAACGAGGCAUGAAUAGAACAAUGCUAACGAUGAGCGGCGCCGUGGGAUAGAUGACUAGCAAAUUAGAUCAUUUUUUAUCGCCAUAUGGCACUGGGCUGUCGUGUUUCCUGCUCCUCCGUCGUACUAGUACUCCAGUGGAAAACUUGAGUAUACCGCAUGGUUCUUUGCUCCUCCUCAGGUCGUCGGCAACAUUUAUACGAGCAGUCAAAUCACAAGGCCCCGCCUUCUAGCAGUAAUGAGCCGUCAAAUCACCAAGGCCCUCGCCUCUCGUGAAACCGACCAAGCGAGACUGCCCCGCCCUCUAGCCUUUUAAAAAAUGUGUACUUUUGUACAAUAGUAGUAUCGAUGGAUUGCGCCAUGGAGCAAAACUAACAAGAUGAAAUUAAAGAAAAAAGGUGGUACAUAUAGAGAGUGCUCGUCGCCAAAUUAUGCAUAUAGUACUAUUAAAAAAGCUAGUAUGUGCUUAAAUGGGGUGCUAAAUUCUAUUAAAGAAAUUAGCAUACCUAUUUAAUUCUUGGGUUCUUGUUAUUUAUGCCACUAGUUGUGUAUCACUACUCAGUUUGCCAUUAGAAGUUACAACUACUAAAAAAUGCCAUCGAUACGUGAGAUGCUUGCUCAAAAAUGCAAUUAGAUAUCUCAAAAAUGCCAUCGUUCCGUUAGAUGUUUGCUAAAAAAUGCCAUUAGACAUUGUUAUUUUCAUGUCAAACCCGUUGACCAUGUUAUAUGACAAAAAUAAGCCGAUUCUCUCUAUCUCGCAAUGAUAAGUGUGGCCCCGCUUGUCAGGAGUAACCAAGCAAAUAAUUUUACAGGAAAAUAAGCAUUCUGUUGGGAUCAAGUAGGCCACAAACUUUAUUGUACUGUAGUGAGAUAGAGGGAGAGCUGGCAUGUUGGUCCAUAGGUAUUUAUGUCAUUAUAACAUGGCAAAAGAGAUUUGAGUCACAAUAAUGGUGUCCAGCACAACACACCCCUCAAAUAAAACUAAGCACCCCUGAAAUUAAACUAAGAAACUAAUCUGGUAGACACUCCAUUAGAACCACCAUGAGCAAUGACACUGCCACCUUACUCGGACUCCUCGUCCACGUGCUCGACUUCGUCCUUGUCCCUCUUCCUCUUGGCCGAUAAUUCUUUGCUUGAACCGCACACUUGGCUUUUGCUCUUCAUCCAACCCUUGUAAAUAUUGAAACAAAGGUAGGCAUCCAUUGCAGCGUACUGGAUGUGGUCUAUAUCUAGUACAUUCCACUGCCAUGUAUGACGAUGAAACUUGGGCAGAGGUUUCUUCAGUUUGCCGUACGAAGGAUGAACCAUGGCUCCUACCAGGGUCAGCAUUGAAGGCUGAUCACGGGAGGGCACCAGCCCAUUCUUCUGGAGGUCGAAGGGCUCGCCUACAACGAGGCCUGUCCAACCCAGGACUCUUCUUUCGGUCGUAAAGUCUACAAUAACGAAUUUGACUAGGUCGCACGCGAGGAACUUCUUAAAUUCCUCGCACUCAACGUCGGCAUGGCAUAUGUGGUAAACCAAGCACAAGUUAUGCACGCAAACCUAGAUCACGGCGGGCUUCAUCUUCUCUUCCUCCUUUAGAUUCUUCUCUUUGUCCAGGGCUGUGGUGUACUCAACAUCUAGCCCAGCGACCCACUCAUCAUUUGAGUUUUCAAACAUAUGUCUGAAGCAAGCAAGGCAUCCUUUCACCGUCAUGGAAGAACGGUGUAGAUGAUGUCGAACUCAUCGCUGGUGAUGGUUCUAACCUUGUACUCACCGCCGAUCAUGGAGAUUUGGGAUGCCAUGGAUUUGGGAGGGUUAGGAUUAGUGGAACUGCCGUAAUGUGAAAGGACGGGACGACUAGGAGCGAACUACCGUAAUGUUAAAGGACGUCUGGGGACGAGUAGGAGCGAACUGCUAGCGGUUUUUUGAUUGUAAAAAUGCUGAGUGGGGUGUGCGAACGGCAGGGUAGUGGCUUGCCUGGUGGAUAAAUGGAUUCAUGCACAGUACUAUGGGGGCCCAAUUAGAUGUCAUGUCUACUCGACGCCCAAUUAAAUGGCUUUCGAUGUCAUGUCAAGCGUCGGGAAAAUUACAGGUGAUACGAAGCUUUCCAUUCUCCCAUGACACGGGCUUCUGAGAGCCCUUGGAGCUGAGAUCGAACGGUUGUAUGGCGUGAUUCUAGACCUAUGGGUGAAUAUCCUAUCCUGGAGGGUUAUUCUGCAAAUUUUCAGCAACAUAGCAUGCGACCGUCCGAUCUCAGAUCCAAGGGCUGCCAGCAGCCCGUAUCAUGGUCGCGCCUACCACGACCAUCGCCUCGCUCGUGCGGUCACGCCCUUGGAGAUUUAACACUAUGUGUUAGGCUAUCUGAUGUUGGCAUGUCAUACAUAGUCAUCACUUAGUCACUCACACAACAAGGUUAGCUAUAAGGUUGGCUAUAAGAGUGUUUUUUUACUUCUCUCUAUCUCUUUCUUCGUACUCCAUUUAUUGCAUUUGCCAAGGAGUGACCUCUUCCAAUGAAAUGGUGCUUAGAUGAGGUGCUAGGGCAUUAAAUGGCUUAGCAACUCAAGUCCCCAAUGCAUAGGUGCUUAGUUUUUUGUUGCUAAGUUUGCUUCAUUUAAUUAGCUAUAGCCUCAAAAUUUUCUUUUCACCUAGGUACACGCGCUUAGCACCGUUUCUUCCUGGGGUCACCAAACUAGUCUCUCUCUUCUUAAUUAACUUGCCACAUCAGACUUUAUGCCUAUGUGGCAGGCUUAGCACCUGUACGAGCAAGUACAAUAGUGGGCUAUAAGCCCGCUUACAUGGCAUUUUUCCAUAUGUGGAGGAAAGAGGCAAGGAAAAAGUGGAGGAGUGGGCUCUCAUGCAAGAGCCAGCCUCUACAUGGUGGAACAUUGGGAGAGUCACCUGUAUACCAUGGAGGUGGUCAGGAAUCGGGAGACUCACGCCGGUUGUAGCGCCGCAGUUAAAAUGAUAAUGGCAAGUCAAAUCACGGGGCCCCACCUGUCCAGCAGUAGCUCGCUGUCAAAUCACACAACCCUAUGUUUGCAGCAGCCUACUCCCUCAUCUUCUCGCUUCUCUGUCAAACCGAUUAGGCGGAACCGCCCCGCCUACCACGUGGGAAAAGCCCCGCCCUCGACUUUUAAAUAGUACAGUAUACUAAUUUUGUAUCCAUGCAUUGCGCCAUGGAGCAAAGCCUCAAGAAAAUGACGGUACACAUGUACGGAGUAUACAACACGCCCGUCGCGUUCGCGUCGCACCCCAGUCGGUCGGUCGGUCUGGCACGCUGCUCUCUGAAUGGAACGCGUGUCAUAUUGUGUUUGCACACACAUGUGGGACCGCAAUUGAGAACCGACCAUAGGCACACUCCCCGGCCCCACAAGUCGGGUGAGUUAAUAGAAGAGAGAGACGAGCGAUAGUACUAGAGAAGUGUUGUACAUACGUUGGUGCCUGGACGAUCCCUGCAUGACACGGGAGAUCAGUUCGUCCAUGCAUGUGACCAGACUCCAGCAGACACGGCUGGAUUGGCUAUCGUCUACAUAUCGUGCAGGCUGUGUUGUACAGGGCUGUAGUUCUGAUGAGAAAUCUAGAAAAAGGUUUCUUGUCAUCUCGCAAUAUUAGGUGUCAUGUGCUUCAGAUCACUACGAGGGUUAAACAGCGACAACUGAGUUCCUCCAAGGUGUUGGUCAUUGGGGGCACAUGCACGAAGACUAUUCGGCUGCCAUCUAGGUCAAGCCAGCUAUGUUAAUUAGGACAUCUAUCGAUGGGCCCCUUUUCUACGUGUUUAUCUUUAAUUUGAGCUUCGAUCCUCGUCUAGUUUGUCCGUCGGGAUUCAUGUUGUCUCCUUGGGGCAGUGAGGUUAUGGUUUCUUGUCAUGUGGCAUUUUUUUCGUGUUGUAUGUUAUAAUCCGGUGCUUCAUAUUAAAAUGAUGACAACUGCACCUCCGGGGCACGUGCAUGAAGACUUCUCGACAAUCAUUGACGAGGUCAAGCCGGCUCCGGUAGACAAAAGAAAACUACUCCACUAUAUAGGCAGGAGCCUCUGCGCUUGCUUGCUAGUGUUGUUCUCUUCACACUGUCUCGUCCUCUCCAGAUCUAAACACGACAGCGGUGGCCACACUCUCUCUCUGCUCACCGCUGGUCAUAGAUCCAACCGGAUCCUCUCCGCCGGGGAAGGUGAGAAGGUGCAACGUUCACGCGGUCGUCCUCGGCGACGGUUCUUACCCACUGCCGGCGCGUCCCGAUCAGCGUGCCUUGCCGUUCUCUCCCAAGCACCGCCGGCUAGGGAGGGCCUCCUACCCUUCUUCCUCGCUGCCGUAGUGUGGGCAGAUCCAGCCUCCCGCCGCCCACCUAGCGACAUCCCGGGGACCCUCAGGUAUAACUUCCUUCAAAACCGGCCUUGCUCUACUUCCCGAGCUCCUGACAUCGCUGAAUUUGUAUCUUUUACUAUUUCUCAGCCCCCCUCAUAGAUAGGAUCGAUCGGUUGUUCGAAAGCCACCUAAAUUUUUACUGUUAAGAGGUGAAACUAGUUCAUGCACUCGAAUCUACACUACAAAAAAAUACACUUCCGUGAUGAUACGUGUUUGUCACAGUAGGUCACGUUUUCUGUCAUGCAUGUACAUCCAUGACAAAUUUAUGACAGAAUCAAGAUAGUCAUACCUGUGCUGUCGUAGAAGUGUUCCAUGACAUUACCAAAAUUAUCAUCACGGAAGUGUCCACUUCCAUGACGAUAAAUUGCGCGUCACAGAAGUGCUUUCGUCAAGGGUGACCGACACGUGGCAUCCACCGUAACGGAACGCCGUUAAGCUAUCGGGUCCGGUUUUGGAUCCGAUAACCCGUUAACAGCCCCGACCAAUGGGGAUUUUCCACGUGUAAAAUCAUCAUUGAUUGGAGGAAACACGUGUCGGCUCACCGUUGGGACAGAUGUCAUCCACUCAUUGGACCCAAAGCGCCUAUGAUACGUCGACACGUGGCACGGCCCAACAGAGGCCCAUAUAGGUUAAAAAGGCCGGCCCAGUCAAAGGCCCGUAGUACUUACUCAGGUACUAGUGGGCCAGCCCAAUAACGGCCUGCUUAAUAAAGGCCCAUUUACGGCUCGAAGCCAGAUCUGGCCCGUUAAUUGUUCGCCGAAUAUUUGGGCCCAAUUACAGCCCAAUGACUUUCGGCCUGUUAGAGGCCCGAUGGAGACAUGGGCCCAUUUCAGCCUGGGAAUGGCCCGUGCUGCCCAUGGGCCAUAUAUGGUCCGACGGGACAUCGGGCCUACUAACGGCCCGUGAUAAAGGUGGCAACAGUUAAGCCCAACGUGACUUUGGGCCUGUUAAAUGCCUGUCGCAUAAUUCGGCCCGUUGAUGUCUGUACUAAGCUUUCGUCCCGUGAUAAAGGUGGCAACAGUUAAGCCCAACGUGACUUUGGGCCUGUUAAACGCCUGUAGCAUAAUUCGGCCCGUUGAUGUCUGUACUAAGCUUUCGGCCUCUUAAAGGCCCAUGAUAUCAGUGGGCCAACUAAGGCCCAAGAUAUGUUUUGGCCUGGUAACUGCUCGUGAUAUAACUGGGCCCAAAAAGGCCCGGUCUACAUUUCAGCCUGCUGAAGGCCCGUCGACGACUAGUGAAAAUUGAGGCCCAAUAUGCAUUUCGGCCUGCUAAAGGCCCAUGGUUUCAUCUGGGCCGUAACAAGCCAGUACAAUAUUCAGCCUGUUAAUGGCCCAACGCUACCUGGGCCAAACUAAGCGUUGGGUCCACAAAAGGCCCAACUAAAGUAUUGGCCGGUGUAAGUUGUGGGCCUCGCGCAAAGUGUGAAGGCCCCAAUGAUUCGAGCCCAAGAAAGAUGCAGGCCGACCCAAUUGUGGCCCGCUAAACACCAGGCCCCUUAGAGGCAAAUGUUUCGGCCCGGUCGACUACAUCUGAUUUUUUUCAGAUAGCGAAUGAUGGCAGUAACUAAUAGGAAUUAAGAACAAACCUACUCUAUACAAUAAAGAAAUUAUGGCAUAGUAACUAAGAAUAAACCUACACUAUACAAUAAAGAAUUUAUGGUAUAUUACAUCCACUGGGCAUCGAAGUUCGCCACCAGUGAUCAUAACGCACAACGAAGAAGCAGAUUACAAAAACUGGGCACCAUUGCAGCGUAACAAAAUAAUACUGAACCGAGACCACUUCCAAGACAGUUCAAGAAAGGUUAGCCUUGCGCGGGAACUGCUACGCAAGCUGCUGAGCAAGGCUGUGAGACCGGCCUAGCAUGUCGGUCAUAGCUUCCAGGUGUAGCUGUUUAGCGAUGAGGUUCUCAUUGGUGUUCUCCGCAAUCUUUCUUAGAGAUAGGACUUCAAGUCGAAGUUGAGUUGCAGAAUGCCUUUCUGCUAGAACUUGGGACUGAAGAAGUCGAACUGAUUCAGACAACGAAUUCUGUGAGCUUGUCUGACUGCUAGUCUCAAGUAACUUGAACACUGCAUCAAGACAAGACUUUGGGGUUGUCUCGCUAUCUUCAAGAUGUUUUGCCUUCUUUGCUGCAAUAUAUGUUGGGUUUGUCUCACAGCCUUCAGCAGACUUGUGCAUGCCAUCAGGCAUAUCACCCUGAAACAAAGCAGAGAGAUGACAGGUUUUGCACAUGUAUAAACAAAGAUGAUAACUGUGCCGUCAAUUCCAUCCAAUUUCAAAUUAGAAAAUAAAGAGUAAGUUCAAAAUGUCAAUAGCAUAAUUUGGCAUUGUUCAUAAUGCGGGGAGCUUCACCACACUACUGGAUUACCAUGUCAGCAUAACAAGCAUAGAUGAAGGGCAAAGAAAAUCAUUGUAUCUAUUUUAGUUAAUGUGCAUGGCAUGUUGUUCAUAUCAUCAGCCACAUCAGUAAGAUAAAACAGGAGAUGACAAGGUGCAAACGUGGGCUGCUUCACCACACACUGGAUUAUAGAUCCACAAAAACAAGCAUACAUAUAGGGAGUAUUGAGUAAUGUGCAUGAUAUGAAUAAGGAAUUUGGUUUUACAAGUAAAACUUAGAACUUACGGUUCUUGUGAACAUGCAUUUUGGUAGAAACAACAAACUAAACAACAGUAAACGAUAGGGAGUAUGAGCAAAUUAAACAGCAGUUGAGGAUAAAGGCUUUAGAAGGACUGACUUACAUUAACAGUCAACACCGGCUUUAGAAUGCCCUUCUCCAUGUCAAGGGAAGGAUAACUCAAGAAUUUCAGCACAUAAUCUUCUUCAUAAGCAUUGCCUGUACUCUACAUUUUGUAGAGAGUAAUUAUAGAUAUGAUAAUACUGGAAGGGAUAGAGGAUAAUGAAUAUAAGAUGUAGAUUGAUGCUACAUAAUCAACUACCGAUCCCUGGAAGUACAAGCAUUACAGGACAAAAUGCACUGACAAGAGGAAUGGGCUACACUUCUGCACUGGCAUUGUCUGCGUAUUCUACUUUUUGGUAAGAUUAAAUAUAGAUCUGAUCUUUUUUAGUAAAUGGUGGGCGAGGGAGAUAAGAUGCAGAAUGCUACACAAUGAACCAAUCCCUCUUCCCAUAAUACAAGAGUGUUUUGAACACUGGUGUACUGUACAAAACGUUCUUAUAUUAUGGGACGGAGGGAGUAGCUGUUAAUGUAAGUACAGUGAUAGACGACGUUCAGUCCUUACAAGAGGACUGCAGAGCUAAACCUCUUCAAAAGCAUUGGGUUGAUUCUAAAUUUAUGUAAGAGUCCAUACGGAUCUUAUAAUGUCCACCAAAUUGACGAUAACGAGGCUAACAUGUGCAGUGAUGCUACAUAAUCAAACAGCUAUGAAAGUAAGUAUGGUCAUACAGGGCAAGAGGUACUCACAAGAGCAAUGCAAUGUGCAGUAUAGUUGCGAGAUUCUGUGGUCCCUUGAGAAUGAAUGUUCUUCUGCUAACAGUUUUCGUACAAGUGAGACAUUAAGGCAAAUGCAGAAAUAUAGUUCAAAUUGUGAUGUGAUAUCAUAGAUAGUACCUUACGCUGCAGCCGAGACCAAUGUGUAACAAGAUUAUUCCAGUCAUUGUCGGAUAAAUGUAGCACCGGAGACUUUACAGAAAUUUCGUUUAGAGGCUUGCCAUCGAAGUGCGCUUGCCUUAGGUAGGAAUGAUACUUCAUCAACGAGUGCUUGAAAAGCGCAACCAACCCUUGCUCGUCUUCACAAUCUAGUUUGGUCCUCGCUUAUUUGAAAGAAUGAAAUCUUGUGUCUUCUGUUAGCAGAAACAUAUGCAGUAAUGACCAUGAAUAACAUUAGUACAUUACUUACGCGUAAGUUGCGGAGGAAGACUGGAAAUUGUUCUGUGUCUGCGGUAUAAUCUUUCAACGAAGGAAAGAUGCACACAAAGUUCCUGACAACAAUAUAAGCUUUGUCUUCUAAACUGGGAAGAAAUGGAACAUGGGUCCUAUUUGCUGCAAUUGGGGCUCUCUCUGGUUCGAAAAGGGAUUUGGCAACUGGAUUUGGUGUACUCUUUGCUGGAAUGGGGGUUUUGCGUCGUAGAGCUGGUGCUAUGUCAACUGGCAUAAUCAUAAUGUUUGCUGCAGUUGGGGUCUGCUGAGUUGGGGCAUCAGAAAUGACCAAUGUAGUAGGGCUAGAGUCUACUAGAGUUGGGGUGUUUUGUGGGUCAGGUGAUAUUGCAACUACACCUAAUGGGCUAUUUGAUUUAUCAGGUGCCACUACCUUUUCCAAAUACUUUGCUUGUGCUCCUCCACGAUCAGCAAUCACCCUCUUCAUUUUGAACGUAUGAUACACAAGAACAGCAUUUGAAUGGAUAAAUAUGGUAUGAUGACAGAUGGAAUAUGUACUGAAAAUGGAUAGGCAGGGCGUAUUCACAUACACGAUGUGUAAACUAAGCUAAUGGCAGUUCAACAAAGUAGAAGCAAUGCAAAGCAUCAGUUGCAAAAUAUGUGCGACAAAUAUAACCUUGGAAAGUUAGAGCAAGCACCUUGAUGGGUGAAUAAGAUAGGGCAUCUUCCUCUGACUCCUCCACUAGGGAGCUACAUUGACUUAGGUCUCCCUCUAGCUUAGAAUCACUGUUAGGAUCAUAUUCUGAGCAUGAAUCUGUAGGUGGAGAGCGUUUGCAUUGCAUUGCAUCCAGACUUGAUUUCAGUCCCUUAAUGCCAAGUUUGACAGCCAUGGCAUUUUUCUGCUUUAUUCUUUUAAUGCGCGCAAGCUCAUAAUCAUUAUGAUGCUGUUCAGAAUCUGAGAUUCAUGAAAACAUAAAAAGUAGUCAGAUUAUCUAUGGAAUGCAUUGCGGAUUCAACUCGAAGGGUGUCUCCCUAUAAACCCCUGCAUAUGCAAAGUUCACCCCCCAACCGUGCUGACCAGACCACACAUAGAAAUACAAAUCGCUUAUGUCUCUAUAACAGGCAGACACACAUUUCAAAACUGAAGUAGGAACAUUAGAAUCAUAUGAAAUUCGUAUUUGAGCAAAUAAACUAAGGAAUAAUGAGUGGCAUAAUGUUUAGCUUCAAGGGUGGAGUGUUGGUAGUGCGACACAAAGCAAGUAGGCAGAUUGUAUUCCAUGUAAAAGAUCGAAGCCUAUAUAAAAGCUGGAAAUGACACUUUCUUUCUAUACAAUGCAGUGUUCGUUGCCCACACAUGAUGGAAGAGAUCACAUAGAGAAAUACUAUUCACUCAUGUCUACGGUUGCAGUAUUUAGAAACAGGGUGGUCCACCCUAAAAGAAUAUUGACAACAAAUAUGACAAGGCAAGCAUAGAUGUAGUGAAUCAAUCAUUUACUUGUGAGCUCACUAGGACAAGUAUGCAGAAUUGUAACUGCAGUAAGAGACCGUCCAAAAUCUGAAUCAAGAAGUUUGUCUAGCACUUAUUGUUUGCAACUAAUCGACGUGAAUAAUUGGAUAUUAUAUCGAAUGAGUAAGAAAGACAAGUAAAAUUGUCAACAAACCUGGCUUGCAGUAGUAAUCUGGGUCAAUGUCACUACGACCAACAAUCCAAAAUGACUAGUGUCUGUUCCUAGGGCCGGAAUUUUGAAAACCCUGUGAACUUCACAGGUACUAAAGAUUACUGAAAUACAUCUGAACCAUUGAGUGUAGGUAGCACUGAGCACACAACAAACCCUAAUGAUAGUCCUGCCUAAUGAGUAAUGAAUCAAUUAGAAAAUGGGUGAUGAGGAGUUGCUGCUGAGUGUUGAGGACUUAUCUCAGGAUAAAUCGGGUUGGCUUAGUGGGUGCUGCACGCCUGAGCCCUGAACGGACUGGGAAGGUAGGCACGGCUGCGCGCCCGGGCAGCAGUGACACUGUUGGCGAGCGGCUCCUGACCUCCUAUUAGUCCGGCGUCUCCUCCUAGAGUCAUGCCGUCCGGGGACGGCAAGUCGCCGGUGAGGCAGGCGGCUGGGGGCGAGUAGAGAUCGGAAGCGCGCAGCAGAACAUAGGGGAGUCAGGGCCUGGGACGACCCAAAAUCCCAGGGUGGGCCGGCCCACCACGGGCACCCUGUAGAGAUACACACCCGAGCGGCGAACAUGCAUUUUCGAAACUAAUUUAGGAACAUUUAGCUGACCAAUUAAACGAAUCUGUUUUAAUAAUAUCAGUUUCGUAUUUGAACAACUAAGCUUGUUUAGCUUGAUGGGUCGAGCAGUGCUAUUAUGACAUGAAGCACGUAUUCUGAUCGUAUAGUGAUCAUAAAAGGGGGAAACCGGAGAAAUGAUAUUUAGCAGCCAUUGUUUGCUUCGAACUAAGAACUAAAUUCUAAGAGCUGAAAAGAAAGUAGAGUAACCAAGUUAAGAUCUAUUUUCUGGUUGAGAUCAAAAAGUUGAGGAGAUAUGAAGUACCACCUCUCUUGCGGCGCCGUAUAGGCAUCGGGGGUGUGAUGGCUGUCGGUGGCGUUGAAGCAGAUUUGCGACGGUAGACGGGUGCAUCGGGGGAUAAGUCCCGUUGCGGUGGAAGGGAAGGUCGUGUGAGCGGCCCCGGCAAAGAGGACGACGACGCCGAUGAAGCGAGAGGACGUGAUGCAAGGCUCUUGGUCCGUCGUCGUGGAUGAGAAACGUCCAUCUCUAGCAGUGGACGACGUGGUCUUGGUAGGCGCGCCGGCAUGGUGGAGGACGGUGGCCAUGGAUGUGGUGGAGGACGGCGGCGAUGGAUGUGGUGGAGGACGGCUGCGAUGGAUGGGGUGGCGGACGGAGGCUGGUGUGGGGAUGGUGUUCUAGCGCGGACGGUGUACGAAUGGGAAAAUGGAGGGAGAGGUACGGGGAACCAUGUUUUUGGGACGCGCCUGUCUGAAAUAUGGGAAAGUUACGAACUUAGACCCCGUUUAAAAUUUGGACGUCUCGUCGGUUGGGGAUAUGACGGUAAUCUCGCAUCUCGCCAAUAUUUGCCCAGAGCGAUUUCGGGCGAGGAGAGGGUGGUUGGCGCCCAUGGUUGGCGCCCACGGUGUAUGAACGGGGCUGACAGGUAGGGCGAUUGUGUCACGUCUGAGUGAAGUUACAAACCUGCCCCUAUUGAAAAUAUUUGCCUACAUCGAUUUCGGCCGAGUCGAGUUUGUUUUGCCGCCCAUCGUGUAUGAAUGGGGAAAUGUAGGAAGAAAUAGAGGUCUUUCAGACGAGCUUGAAUCAAAUGUGUUUUGCCGCCCAUGUUUGGCGCCCACCGUGUCGGAAUGGGCUCAGAGGCGGUCGUGCCACGUCUAAUUGAAGUUACUAUCCUACCCCUAUUUAGAGGAGUGGAAAUCGGGCCGAUGGAUUGUCCGUGUAAUGGGUAGACAGUAAUUUCCAUCUCCCAAACACUUGGCUUCGGGCAGCCGACGUGGGAGUGGACAUUUUGCCGCUUCUUUCGAAUUUUGGGACAAUAAGCAUCCAUGUUUACCCUGGCAACUAAAUUCGAAUCCAUUUUGUAUUCCUAUACGAAUCUUUAUAAAUCAUUCUAUGUGUUUUUAUAUAUCUUCAAAAGGACGACAAAGAUGUAUUCCACUAUCAUAUAUGAAUAUGGUUUACAAAUGCCGAUACUCAAAUUCAGAAGCUAGAAUCCAUUUUAAGGUGAAUUCGAAUAUUUGGAACACUUCAUGUCCAACUCAAAUGUCACACGCAGCAUAAUGUGUACUCCCAUUUAGAUAUGUACACAAGCAAUGUAUCAAGAUUCAAAUACGGAGUCAAUCAACCAAGAAUGUACAGAACUAACAGACAUAUAAACACUUGUAGAGUAUAUGGAUCAAUAAUAUCAACUAACAUACAUAAGCCAGACCGCUGUACUUUUCUUUGCUACAACAGCAUCCUUUUUUUAGCCAAGCUACUAUAGCAUCUUGGCCCUUUCCGAUGUGUGCCACUUAUGGUCCAUCUAUACUACUAUUAUUGCUGAAUGCACAUUCAGCCCGAUUGGCACAUUUGUAGGUCUGGCACAGCAAUCAAAAUGAAAUGUCUCCAAGUCUUAUCAAUUAAUACAGACUUGUGCUCAAAUAAAAUUACAAACCAAAAAACAAAAAACAAUUAUUACAUGAUCUCUAAAACAAAUGGUUUGAUUGAUUACAUGAACAAACUACACAAAGGUUAUUCAACGAUGGAAAGAACAUUUCACCCACGAUUUACCAAGUGGGAAUUUAAUUUCCUUUUUUCCUUCAGGACCUUAACAAUGUGGUCAGUCUCAGCUUGCUUCAUUUUGAAAUCCACCAAAUAUUUAAUGGUUGUCUUGAGUACUACUACUGAUUGUGCUGUUUGCUUCCUCAACAUGUCAACUUCAUCUCUAAGUGCAGAAGCAGAAUCUCUUUCUACCACUAGUUUAGCCUCUAGAGCAUCAGCAGUUGGCAAUUCAUAAUGCACGAUUGGGCCGGUGCCACUGUUGUGCGAUGAUACAACGUCCAUGGGGAUCUCGCUCUUUGAUCUUGGGCUAACCUGUUUUGCCAUUAAAGUUCCGACUGGAUUCAGAAAAGUUGAAGUUAGCAAAACAUCUCAACUGGGAGUUAUAACAGCAAACCAGUUAAACAAACAAGGAAUUAAAGAGUUUCAAGUCGAUGCUGAAAAGUAGUUAUUAACAUCAUUGUAACCCGUUGUUGCAGCAGCAAAGCAGUUAAACAAAUAAGUAGCUAUUUAAGUUCAGCCAAACAGGUAAUUCGUAACAGUAAGUAUCAAACACAUAGAUAGGCGCAGUCUAUAAUAGGAUUAACAGGCUGUGGCAUUAUGUAAUCAGUAGCAAACUAAAUUAAGCCAAGCAACAUAAUUGAACAAUUUUGCAAUAAGUGGCUAACUAAAAUUCUGAGAAGCAGGUAACUAAACUUAUGCCAGUUCUUUGUACAGGCACACUGCCACUUCUUUUUCGCUUACAAGGUUGUAUGAAGGAGUCCAUGGCAUCAAUUGCUUGGAUACGCAGUCCCAAUACUUCUUUCUCCCCACACCGCAUUGGUAAGUCGAAUGGUUAAUCUGGUAAGAUGGUGCGUCCUUGAUAUGUUAUAUGAGGACGUGUAAUCAGACUAGUUGUAGCCACACACAUCACACUGGCUUUUACUAUAUAUUUCAUGCGAUUACUUUUGGCAUAUCGAGAUCUAAGCAAUCUAUAAUAGGAAGAAAAGACUGGCAUCCUUCACAUUAUUGGCGAACUCAGUUCAUAGAAACAAGCAAUUCAACCAUUCUCUGGGUAAAUCAAAAGCGCCACUGGAAUAUUUUUCACUACCCCUAUCAUACACGCAAAAAGGGGCGAUGCCACCAUAGGGGCUGGUAUGGGCGGCCGCCUCGGGUGGCUCGAAAGUGUGCACCUAGUUUGAGUCGUCCAGGUUGGCCCAGGCUAGUUUUGUUCGUCCCAACGCACGAGCAGGCAAUGUAAAAAAUGAAGAAAAAUGUCUCAAUUUGGAUAGGCCAAUAACAUAAGUGCAAGGCAGGCCCUAUAGCAGGCUCGCGGUCCAAACGAGCGCCUCCCAUAUCGAUCGACAGCAGGAAAAAUCCCAAUUCAUCCGCUCCAGCCUCCAGUCUGGUUCGCUCCUAACCUAGCCGCCCCUGGACAGACUAACACAACACUUUCUCGCGCCCUCGUUGGAGGGCGGUCGCCGGGCUUCAAGCGAACGGAAGGACAAGAAGAUGAAGAUCCAACCCUGGGUGUAGCCUGCAUGGGAGGCAGCGGCAGCAGCACGGGCAUGGCAUCGAGCUUGCGCAAACGGACAGUCGCAGCUUGCAAGAGUAGCAUGCGCAACGAGCAGGUACAUCACAUCCCUGAUUAUAUCUAAUUCAACUCUUCAAUUUCUGGCCAAUAGUUAAACCUAACGGUGUUGUAAAACUGCUUGUAUGUAGGGAAUCUAUGAGAAAAUGAAACCAAUUUCUACUUAUUUUAUAACUCCCCCAAUCAAUACUGAACUGACUGAAUCUGAUGUAUCUAACCAAGUUUCCAGUGCAAACAUCCAAGCUCAUGUUGUUGUUGAGCCUGAAGUGUCUAAUGAACAGACUGCUAAUGAAGGAUUUGAUGCAAACAUUUUACAUGCUCCUGGUGAUGAACAUAUAGUGUCUAAUGAGGCAUCUAAUGCAAGCAUUUUGCAAGCUCCCAUUGAAGGAUUUAGUGUCUAAUGAUGAUCUGCUAUGUUGAGACAAGCAAAUUAUAGUGCAUUUUGAUGGCUUAAGGAAACGUCGAGGCCAUCUACCAGAAAGUCCCCGUAUCAUGACAACGUAGCAUAAAUACUUUUCUAAUCUGUUGUUUGAAACUAUUGGCAUACUUGUGCAGGAUAGAUAUAUUGAUAUGCAGUUUGCGCACUGGUUAUAGGUGCAAUUACACUUCGAUAU
rnacentral:lncRNA from 1 species